rnacentral:lncRNA from 1 species
GUCACUUGGUGUUGGCCUGGAACAUCGUGUAGCAGAUGGCUUUUCUGGUCUCCACUUUGUAAAUACAUGGUCUGAUAUCGCUCGAGGUCUUGACCUUACAAUUCCACCAUUCAUCGACAGGACAUUACUUCGUGCCCGAGACCCACCACAGCCUGCAUUCGAUCACACUGAAUACCAACCUGAUCCACCCAUUAAAACCGGUACAAAAGCUGUAGGUGAUGAGAGCGCAACGGUAUCCAUUUUUAGAUUGACACGGGAGCAGCUCAACAUCUUGAAAGCCAAGUCUAAGGAAGAUGGGAACACAAUCAACUAUACCACAUAUGAGAUGUUGGCAGGUCAUAUUUGGAAAUGCGCAUCCGUGGCACGUGAACUUCCUGAUGAUCAAGAGACCAAACUACAUAUUGCAGUUGAUGGAAGGUCCAGACUGCAACCCCCCCUCCCUCCUGGUUUCUUUGGCAACGUGGUUUUUUCAAGCGCACCAAUUGCUGCAACAGGGGAUCUCAAAUCAGAACCAACAUGGUAUGCUGCAAGCCGUAUUCAUGAUGCUGUUGUGCGUAUGGACAACGAUUAUCUUAGAUCAGCGCUGGACUAUCUUGAACUUCAGCCUGACCUGUUACCCCAUGUUCGCGGAGCUCAUACUUUUAGGUGCCCGAGACUUGCAAUAACUAAUUGGUCUAGGCUGCCGAUCUAUGAUGCUGAUUUCGGUUGGGGUCGACCUACUUUCAUGGGGCCUGGUGGAAUUGGAUAUGAGGGGUUGGCUUUUGUGUUACCAAGUGCAACAAAUGAUGGAAGUUUAUCAGUGGUCAUUUCUCUGCAAUCUCAACGUAUGAAAUCAUUCUCCAAGUUGUUGUAUGAGAUAUAAGGAAAUGAAAUGCGUCGAAUGGGAACAAUACGUUGAACAUACUUCGGGCUUCUAUCUCGUGUCCUCUGAGUUCUGGGACUUCGGAAAGCAGCUGUUUUAGAAAAGUUCAAGUGGUCUUUUGUGGCUAAUAUAUAUUAGAGUAUCUGUUUUAGGAACAUCCUAGUACUGAAUAAGAUUGUCAGAGUAUCUGUAAGCUUUGUUUAAUGCUGUGGAGGACUUCUUUUUCGGAGUAUCUGUAGUUUACUGUGAUUCUUAAUAAGAUUUUCUUUCUCCAUGAAACAAAAACAUACUGAAUCACUUUGGUUGCAUGAAGGUUAGUGCCUUUGGUAAACCUGCACUUCGGUUAUACUUUCAGAAAUUUUGGUUUAAUGCAAGAGCAUUUGUAGCUUUUUUAUUUCUCACUGCGAAAAAAGGAAGAGUUAAUAAUCACACUACAGUCCAAACCUUUUAAAAGAGGUUCCAUGUGGUUUUGUCAGGCUGUGUGGUCGUAUUCUUUUGUCAGCUGGUAUUAUCAUAAAUACUUGAUAUUAUCAUUUGUCCUAGGUGCACCCAUGCACCAUUUGUCCUAUAUGAUGUUCUUAGAUUUUUUAAAAAAUUGAUUAUCAAUUAUACAAGUUAUCAAGUUUUUACUUUUUGAAAAUGCAAUUGCAUAAGGGUUAUGCAAUUAUGCUAUUUUUGUUUGGCAAUUGGUAUAUGAUUGGAUAUGUUAUUUUUCAAUUGAGUUUAUUCUUUUUGACUCACGAUGACUUGCGUAUGAAUUUCACAAUGGUAUUUGUUUACUUUUAUAAAUCUAAAGUUAUCGUUUUAGAAUAUUCUUUUUUUUUUAUGAGAACUGUUUGACUUUUUUUUUCCUUUUGAUUUCGAUAUGUCACUUCAUUGUAGCUUUACUUAAGUUCAUUAUGAGUUGCUGGUUUUAUUUAUAUGAAUUAUGAUGGCUAGUUGUGGUUAAUUCCUCUGUAUUUUAUGCCUAGUUUUUAAAAAUCAAUUGAGGUUGAUAGUUUUAAUUUUUUGUUACUUUUGUUUCAUAGAAUUCGUGAAUGUGCAUCAAUAUUUAUUUGAGAGCUUGAAAGUCUUUAUCCAUCAAAAUUUUUCACCUCGAGUUCUAUCUAUGUAAUUGGUUGAAAUCAAUUUCUAAAAUAAGAACUAUGUUACUUGUUGAACUCUAUGUUACAUGGUUGUACUUUUGUAGACAUCCACGAAGUACUAUAAAUUUAUAUUCUUUUCCUAACAUGGCCGUGUAUUUUACAUUACAUUGUUAUGAUUAAAAUCAAGAAAAACAAGUAGAAAAGUAGAAAAUUUACAAGUUUUCUCGUAGAUUACAAGAUUUUCAGUUGUGUUUACAACGAUAAUGACAUAAUUUUACUCGUCCAAAGUCCAUUCUUACCUUGGUACUAUGUAUCAUUUUCUUUGUAAAUUAGGGUAUUACAAUGUUAUGGAUUAGGGUGGACUAUAAUGUUGUUACAAUUAUUUCAAUUAUUUCACAACAUUUGCAGAUUUUUUCAUGAUUCAUGAGUUAGGGGUUGCUUUGUAUAACUUGUAACCAAAAUCAAUAAAAUUGGGGUAACUUUAUAUAAAUCCAAUUGGCCAAACUGAAAAAAAAAAAAAAAAUAUUUACUUGUAACCAAAUACAAUUUUUUAACAUCUAAACUAUUCUUUUUAUUUUGUUAUUUCUUAAAUGUGAAUAAAUUACUAGAAGGAACUAAAAUACGACUACAUAGUAUAACUCAUUUAUGUAUUUAAUAUCAAUCAAUGAUAAGAUAUUCAACUUUUAAGACAUAAUAUCAAUAAAUAUCCACUUGUAUUAUAAUAAAUAUUAUAUGACAUACUCUGAAGCCACACUAUAAUUACUUCUCAAGAUGACAUAUUAUUAUAUUAAAAAAUAUAUGUAUUCUUGCUUAUUCUAAAAAUAACUUAAAGCAAAUGUCUUAUAACAAAAGAUGACUCAUAGCAUCUUCCAACAAAAAAUUUCCUUAUGAUCCGUCUCCCUUUUUUUGUUCAUAUCUUCGUAAUAUAAUUGGUUCAUGUUCCGAUUAAAAAAAAGUUAAAUAAGAAUAUAUAAUAAUAUAAUACUUAAAUAAUAUAUAUUGCACUUUAUAAUCAAUAUAGAAUACAUAAAUAUGAUAUUUACAUAUAAUAUGUACAAUUUCAACUAAAAUACUCGAAUUUUAUAUAAGUAUGUAACAUAACAAAAUACUAAAUGAGGCAAUGAAGGAGAAGAAAGUGAUUGAGUUACCAUUACCAAUUCCUUAAACUCGUAACUUACAAGUUUUUGUAACAAUUUACAAGGUUUUGCUCUUAGAUUACAACAUUAGGGUUCACCGAAUCCAUAAUGUUGUAAAUCAGCCUUUUGCAAGGAUAUGGAUCCAUAUUACAAGGAAUUGGUAAUGAUGAACCGUAGGGAAGCAAAAUGGGUCCUUAUUCUAGUAAACAAUGGUUUACAACAUUAAGGAUUUGUAUUACGAUGCUUUGGACGCAAGAGUUCCAUAAACUUGUAAAGUGGAUCCGUAAUCUCAUAGAUUACAAUAUUUGGGUUCCCAUUUAUCCGUUUUUGCAAUCUAAUUACAAGUUUAAGGUUCUUCAUAUUCCAUAAUCUUAUAAUACCCAUAGAAAGGAUCCCCAUUACAAGUUUAUGGAAUGUCGAGGUCCAAAACAUUGUAAAAGGGGUCCUUAUUAUUGUAAACCCUUGUGUUUACAAGAAUAAGGACCACAUUUACUUCUCCAAGGUCCACCCUUAUAAUACCUUAACAUUAUAAGAGAGAUCAUUUCUAAUGUAAAUUAUUAUAGUAUUACAAGAUUAUGGAUUAUAAAGAACUUUAAAGUUGUAAUCAUGGUGCAAAAACUUGUAAAUAAGAAUCAAAAUAUUGUAAUCUAUGAGAUUAAGGAUCCAUUUUACAAGUUUAUAGAACACUUAUGUCCAAACCAUUGUAAUACAAGUCCUUAGUGUUAUAAACCGUUGCAUUUACAAGAAUAUGAACCACGUUUACAUUUUCAAGGUCCACCAUUACCUUAACUUUGUAAUAGAGAUCCUUUUAUUGUAAUUUAUGAGAUUACAAAUUUAUGGAUACACGUUACAAGUUUAUGGUACAUGGAGGUCCAAAAUAUUGUAAAAGAGGUCCGUAAUACUAUAAACCCUUGUGUUUACAUGAAUAAGGACCACAUUUACAACGUUGAAGUCUACUCUUACCUUAUCAUUGUAAGAGGGAUCAUUUCAAUUGUAAAUCAGGAUAUUACAACGCUAUGGAUAAGGAAGAACCUCAAACUUGUAAUCAUAGUGCAAAAAAUCAUAAAUGAGAAUCCAAAUAUUGUAAUGUACGAGAUUAAGAAUCUGCGUUACGAGUUUAUGGAGAGCUUACGUCCAAAGCACUGUAAUACGGGUUCUUAAUGUUAUAAACCAUUGCAUUUACAAGAAUAAGUACCAAUUUUACAUCUUCAAGGUCCACCAUUAUCUUAACCAUGUAAUAGAGAUCAUUUCUAUCGUAAUUUAAGAUAUUACAAGUUUAUGGAUACACUUUACAAAUUUAUGGAACAUAGAGGUCCAAAACAUUGUAAAAGAGGUCCUUAAUAUUGUAAACCCUUGUGUUUAUAAGAGUAAGGACCACCUUUACUUCUCCAAAGUCUACUUUUACUUUAUCAUUGUAAGAGGGAUCCUUUCAAUUGUAAAUCAGGAUAUUACAACGCUAGGGAUAAGGAAGAACCUCAAAAUUGUAAUCAUGGUGCAAAAAAUCAUAAAUGAAAACCCAAAUCUUGUAAUGUACGAGAUUAAGGAUCUGCGUUACGAGUUUAUGGAGAGCUUACAUCCAAAGCAUUGUAAUACGAUUCCUUAAUGUUAUAAACCAUUGCAUUUACAAGAAUAAGUACAAAUUUUACAUCUCUAAGGUCCAUAAUUACCUUAACCAUGUAAUAGAGAUCCUUUAUAUUGUAAUUUAUGAUAUUACAAGUUUAUGGAUACGCUUUACAAAUUUAUGGAACAUGGAGGUCCAAAACAUUGUAAAAGAGGUCCUUAAUACUGUAAACCCUUGUGUUUAUAAGAAUAAGCACCAAAUUUAUUCCACCAAUGUCCACUCUUACUCUCUUCUUAUACAAGGGUUCCUUGUUGUUGCAAAUUAUGGUAUUACGAGAUUAAGGAUGGCUUUUACAAUGUAAUGGAACGACUAUGUCCAUUUUAGUAUAAUACGAAUCCUUAAUGUUGUAACCACCACCUUGUUUACAAGGAUAAUGACUCAACUUACUACUCCAAGGUUCAUUCUUACCUUAACAUUGUUUUGGGGGUCAUUACGAGUUUUGUAAAUUACGAUAUUACAAGAUUAAGGAUCUCUUUUAUAACUUUAUGGAACCUCUCUAUCCAUAACAAUAUAACGGAAGUCCUAUAUAUUGUAAACUCCUUUGUUUACAAUGACAAGGACCAAAUUUAUUCCACCAAGGUCCACUCUUACCCUAUUCUUAUACAAGUAUAAGGACCCAAUUUACUUUCCUAAUGCCCCAAGUUACCUUAAUAUUGUACUAUAUGUCUUUAUCUUUGUAAAUUACGAUAUUUCAAUAUUAAGGAUGGGUUUUAUACUUUUAUGGAACACACCUGUUUAAUAUAAAGUUGUAAAUGUUUGUGUUUAUAAGUAUAAGGACCCAAUUUACCUUCCGAAUGUUCCAUUUUACUGUUUGUCAAUUGCAAUUUUGAACUUACUAUUUGUCAAUUGCAUUAUUCAAUUUCAAUUUUCCACUAACUGUUUGUCAAUUGCAUAUGAGUCCUUACUAUUGUAAACCCUUUGGUUUACAAGGAUAAGGACCUAAUUUACUUCUCUAAUAUCUCUCAUUCCCUUUAUAAAUUUAUUUUAUUAAUUUUAGUAUCUUUUAAAUACAUGUUUACAACAUAUUUACAAAGGCCAAAAAUCGCAUUUUUUUUACCCAAAAAAAACUUAUUCACUUUGGGGUUACAAAAGCAUUAGGAAUGGGAAGUGAAAUCAUGUGGAAAACGAAGUCAAAAGUGAAGCAAAUAGGGUAAUUGAUGGUAACACACACACACACACACACACACAAAAAACAAACAAAUAGGGUAGGGUAAUUGAUGGUAACACACACACACACACACACACACACACACAUAUAUAUAUAUAUAUCAACAAACAAACAAAUAGGGUAAUUGAUGGUAACACACACACACACACACACAUAUAUAUAUAUAUAUAUAUAUCAACAAACAAACAAAUAGGGUAAUUGAUGGUAACACACACACACACACACACAUAUAUAUAUAUAUCAACAAACAAACAAAUAGGGUAAUUGAUGGUAACACACACACAUAUAUAUAUAUAUCAAUGGAAAUUGCCAAACAAGAGACAAAUUUCCCAUCGUCAUUUAAAAGUGAGAUCCGACUUAACAAAAAAGAGCUUAACAAUAAAAGUUAAUAGGGUUAUUCACAGCAAUGGUCCCUCAACUAUACCCGUAGUUACAUUUGGGUCAUUGAACUCAAUUAUUAGCUGUAGACGUCACUGAAUUAGGUGUUGUGUUGCACCAUUAGUCUUUCCGUCAAAUUUUGUUAAAUUUUUUGUCAAAAGUAAGGAUAAAUUUGGAAAUUCAUCAACAACCUUCUCCUUCCUCCACAACCCUCCAUUGCCGCAACCCAAUCCUUGCCGACACCAAAAAAUUCAAUUAAAAAGAUGCCGCACAGCACCAAGAAUAUUUUCAAAUAUUUAUAAUAAAUACCUUCAGAUCAGCAAACAAAUUCAAGAUCUCGCAUUUUAAGCCGCUUACGAGAACCCAAGUCACGUUCUUGUCCCAAUUCAGUACUCACAUGUUUUUCCCCAACAAUCUAAAACAACCCAAAAAAUAAGCAGGAAAAAGAACCAAACUUUGAAUCCGAUCUGGGUAUCGAAACCAACCUUUCUCCUAAAUCACAUCGGUCUUCCAUAAUCUUCGAACCCAAUUCAAAUACACCAAUUUAAAACCCAACCCUUUUGCAAGAGCCACUAAAUUUGACUCAUGGGUGCUAAAAUUUGUAGACUUUUGAAAUAAAAAUGAAAAAGGGUAAGUGUUGAAAUGAUGAAUCUUUGGACCUCCCCGAAGGAGCAAACAAGAAUGGAAGGGUGAACCAUAGGUUUGACACAAGAGGAAUCUUUCGUAGACUCGGUUCGCCAUCAAUUUGCAAACCAUCUAGAGGUUGAGAGGGAAGAAGGGUUGGUGGGUUAGUGUUUUGAAGUUUUGUGUAGUAGACCUGUGGGAAUUUUUAUGAUUUGAUAUUCAAUUUGAAUUUCCAAAUUUACAAAUUUACAAAUUUUGAAGUUGUGGAAGAUAGAGAGGGUUGUGGAUGAAUUUUCGAAUUUACCCUCACUUUUAACAGAAAAUUUAAAAAAACUUGACGAAAAGACUAUUGAUGUAACAAAACACAUAUUUGAGUGACCUCUGCAACUAAUAAUUAAGUUCAGUGACUCAAAUCUAACUACGAAUAUAGUUGAAAAACUAUUGCUGCGAAUAACCUAAGUUAAUAUGUGACAAUCUAAUGCUUUGUACCUUUAUUUAUGUGAAUCUGUAUGACCUAAUACUUUGUAUUAACUUGUAUUUAUUUUACCCUUAAUCAAUUCAAAUGUUUAUUUUGGAAAAUAAACUUGUCCAACUGCAUAGUUCAAUUUUCUUUUGUAUUUUCAUAAUAAACAUAUAAAGCAAAUAGGACUACUUUGAUUGUCAAUUGCACGACUGGAAUGCAAAUGGCACAACUUGUUUGUCAAUUUCAUUAACAAAUCACAUAUUGUAUUUAUAUUUUCAAUUAAUUGUGCAUAGAUAAUGGCAAUUGUGCGAUUGGAAUGCAAAUGAGACUGCUUUGUUUAUCAAUAACAUGGCUGGAAUGCACAUGACAUUACCUGUUUGUCAAUUGCAUUGACAAACCACAUAUUGUAUUUACAUUCUAACAAUAUGCAAAUUGAAAAGGCUACCAAUAACAUGACAAUAUGCAUACACUAAUUGUAAAAACGGACUAACCAGUUGCUAAUUGGAUUCAAAAAUGACAUACCGAAGUACCUAUUGCAUUUUCAUUACAAAAAUGCAAGGCAACAAAUAUAAUGUCGCUAAUUGCAAUAACAGACUAGUCAGUUGGUAAUAGCAUUCUGAAAAUGCAAAAAGGUUGCCAAUUGUAUGCUCAGUUAUGUACACCAACUGCCAAAAACCCCUUACAAUUUGGUAAUUACACGCCUGAAUACCAUAUCAAACUUCAAUAUAAUACAACAAUUCCGAUGAAGAUGAACUCAAUGUCAGAGCUCAUAAUAUCAUUACAAUUAAGAAAUUCUACCUAAUGCUUUUCAAAUGAGUCACAAAAAUUUCAACAUCAACAAUAUGCCUAACAUGAAAAUAUAUAUAUAUAUAUAUACUGAAAUUAAUCAUAUUGGGUGUUUUGUCUGCCAAAAAAAAAAAAAAAACUCAAAUCACAAUGGGUUUCUUUUCAGCAAAAAAAAACUCACAUCCACAUCUCGACCACAAUGCCAAGCUAAAUAAAAAAACAGAUAGUACAAAAAGAAUAGUAUGACUGAAAAAGAAAAUUAAAGCUUCGUAACCAAAAGGUGCAAAGAAAUAAUUAAAUUGCUAAAUAAUUAUAUAAAGCAACAAACUGAAAUCUCACAUCCAAUACAAAUAAAUAUUCGGCACUACAAAAAUGUUAAUAAGAUAGGGAAAUAAACCAAAUGAUCUAAUAUCCAGUAAGUCACUUGGAAGCUCGACUUUCCUUGAUGAGCCUAAGAUUGCCUUUUUGGUAUGAGCCACAGUAAUCACAUCAAGUUGCUAAAAUGUAAAUGUAUGAAUUAAAGAGUUAAUUAAUGCACAUGGAACUAAGACUAAGCAGAAUUCAGAUAAUAGAUGAUGCCUUAAAUAAUCUCUAAUGUUUAAUAACAUAUAUAAUGAUGAAAAUUUAAAACUCACAUACAUGAAGGGUAGACAAUCCUAGGAUAGUAAGCAUGAGAGAGGAGGUAAUAAACAGGGCUUCCUAUGUAGAUGCACACAUGAUGAAUGAAAAUCAAGCAAUUCAUAGAAAAUUACAGCACUCUUUCUGCAGGACAACACCAAGUGAACAUCCAAUUGUCAGUUAGUAAGAGAAAGCACAAGGGCAGCAAAAAAUUAGUGAGACUAAAAGGAAACUAAAGAAACUAACAGAGGCUUUUAUUGUUUGGUUGUUAGGUAGCUUUCAUUAAAACCCCAAAAAAGAGGCAACCUUCACACGCAUUUAGUAGAAUACUGACAAGAAGAAGAAAAAAAUCAAUCAUAACAAGCUUCCAAAGAUGAUAUUCAUAAAUCAAUGGGGAUGCAGAAGGAUGAGAAAUCCUCACACCCCCCAUCCCACACGACCAAGACUACAAACAAAAGCAAAAAAACCACAUAAAAAAGAAGAAUCCGGGCUAAACAAAGCAACAUUCCAGAGCCCAGGAAAAAAAAAAAAAGAGUCUUAAGAAUGACAUCAUAGCACAUUCAGGAAUCCGAAUAUGAAAAUAAGAUGCAACUUGUAAACACAAGAACCAACUCAGAAAAAUUAAAAAAAAAUCAAUUGGAAAAGAAAAAAAAAACCAAAAAAUGAUGAAUGCAGCAGUAAACUCAAAAUUAAACUAACAUUACCAAAUCUACAUCUAGUUCAACACUAAUAUGAAAUCCUCACCUUGUCUCCAAAUUAAUGGUUCAAAUACAAAUUAAAAAGUUGAAAACAUGCAGAGACCAUAGCCCAAUAUUAAAACCUAAAACUUACAAUAUAAAUUAGAAAACUCAAACCUUGAAUAAUUAAAAUUAUCUUGGGAGAUAGAGGGCAGGGAUCGAGCUAAAUGAGGGUUUCAAUUGGGGAUGAGAUUGUUGGUAUGGGUUUGGUUUUGAAACGAAGCCUGGGAAGGAGAUUGAGAGACCAUGAGAUGUAGAGAUGAGAGAGACAAUUAGGGAGAAGAAAGAGAGAGAUACCUGAGAGGAGAGGAGUUGUGUUCGUCGCGCUGUCUCGUCGUCACAGGAGGAGGAGAGGAGCGAUUUUGGAAGGAGUCGAACUGGAAGAGAGAGAAAAGAGAAACCCAAUGCUAAGAGGAGAGGAGUUGUGUUCGUCGCGCUGUCUCGUCGUCACAGGAGGAGGAGAGGAGCGAUUUUGGAAGGAGUCGAACUGGAAGAGAGAGAAAAAAACCCAAUGCUACUGAAGGAGAGUUUUUGUUUUUGUUUUCUUUUUUCCUACAACAACCGAUUUAUCCGGUAACUAACUCAACGGUGUGGAUAACUCCACAUCACCAACUACUCAUCCAAUGGUCUGUAACAAUGGGCGCAUCCAUACGCCAAGCCCACUGUAGAAUUUUCCCUGAAAUUAAUCCUCGGUGAAGACAUAGUGGAACAGUUUCAAACCACGAACUAUUUUGUUUUCUUCUUAUAAUUAUUGAAGGAAUAUGAUUUCCUCACUCUCUUGGUUUUCUCCCCUUACACUUUUUAAUCAAUUUUCUUCUUUCUCUUUUCUAUUUUAUCUUUACUCUACGUUAAUUUUUUUAUAUUUCAUUUUUAUAUUAGUUCUUUACAUUUCAUUUUUAUAUUAGUUCUUUUUCUUUAUAUUUAAUUUUCCAACUUACACUCAAUUUUCAGUAUUUUUUUUCCUUUAAUCGAGUAAGAAAUUAAGUUUUUUUCUUUCUUUAAUACUAAAAAUAGAGUGUAAGUUUGAAAAUUUAAAUAUAAAGAAAAAGAAAUAAUAUAGAAGUGAAGUAAAAAGGAAAAAAAGAAAUAAUAUAAAAGUGAAGUAAAAAUAAAUUAAUGUAAGGUAAGGAUAGAAUAGGAAAGAGAAAGAACAAAAUUGAUUAAAAAGUAUUAAAAAGCAAAAGAGAGUGUAAGUGGAGAAAAAGAGAGUAGGAAAAUCAACUCCCUUAUUAAAAAGAUACCCUCUAAUGCAUUGAGGGCAGGGACAAUUCGACAGUAGUCUUUAUUUGACAAUGCUAUGGAGCAUCUUCAACACGGAAAAGAAAAACAAACAUAAUUCUCUACUUCAACAAAAUUAUUGCAAGCACACAAUCCUCACAAGUAAUAUAAAAAUUAGUAAAGUGUUGUUCCCACGAAGACUGUAAUCUCCUAUUAACUAUCAAUUAUGAUUAAUUCAAAAGUUUAUUUGAAUAGUUGAUUAAGAAGAUUGAUUGAUUUAAGUAAACUAAAACAAUUGUGAAAAAUAGCAAUUUAAUUAAUGAUGAAAAAUCAAGUUGAUGUGACACUAGAUCAUCCGAUUUCACCAUAACCAAUUCAACUUAAUUCUUAUAGUCAAUUAACCCUAAUUACUAUCCAUGUUGACAAUUGGUUUAUCCUAAAUCAUUUGAUAUACCCUCUCGAGCUCAACCAAAAGUAUUCUUAAUUAACAACCUAUUCUCUCUUGAGCAACGAAUUUAGAAAAUCAAGAACCUAUUAAGUUCAAUGAGAACUUGCAAGAAAGCUGCAUGAGUCAUGUUAGUCCCUCUCGGGCACUCAUUCAAGACAUCACUACUACAAAAAAGCAAAAAGACGACGGUAAAUCACCGUCGUGUAUUCGAUUUUUCAAUGGUCGUGGAAUCCACCGUCAUCUUUUCCCUCAUAUACCACGACGCUAAAUCACCGUCGUUGUUAAAAUAUAUAACGUCAUCAACAAAUACAAAACGACGUCUUUGUACUGCAAAAAGAUCUAAAAAAGCAGUCGAGGAUGAGAAUAGACGACCAAUUCUCUAAAAAAACCGUCGUUAAAAAGGAAAAAUAUGACACAUAUUAAGAGAACAAGGCCGCAAGAUAGACAUACAACGACGGAAAUAAAAAAACGACGCCGUUAAAUAUCAUUUUCACGACAAUAAAAAAUUUGACGUCUUUAAAUACAUUAGAAGACGACGUUAUUGAUACCUACUACGUCGCAUAUAUAAAAACAGCCGUCGUAAAAUUAAUUUUCCACUUCGAUUUUUCGAUAAAAGAUGACGUGGAAAUAGUUGUCAGUGUCAUUAUUUACGACGUAUGUAUUUAUUGAGUAGACGUUGAAAAACGAAACAACGUCGGUUACAAAUAUAUGAGAGUCGUAUUACAAAAUUUAUACGUCAUAUUUUCAGAAACAAACAACGACGAUAAAUAUUAGACGUUGUUAAAUAAAACAACGUCGGAAAACAAUAAAAACAGACGUGUUUAGUCUGCUAAAGUUCUAGAAAAUAGUCGAGGAUGAGAAUAGACGACCAACUCAAACAACUCACCGUCGUUAAAAAGGAAAAAUAUGACACAUGUUAAAAGAACAAGGCCGCAAGAUAUACAUACAACGACGACAACUAAAAUACUACGCCGUUAAAUAUAAUUUACACGACAAGAAAAAAUAUGACGUCUUUAAAUACAUGAGAAGACGACGUUAUUGAAAUAUACUACGUCUCUUAUUUACAAACAACCGUCGUGAAAUAAAUUUUCCACUUCGAUUUUUCUAAAAAAGAUGACGUGGAAAUAGUUGUCAGUGUCAUUAUUUACGACGUAUGUAUUUAUACAGUUGACGUUGAAAUGCGAAACAACGUCGGUGGCAUUUAUAUAGUCGACGUUGUAUUUAUAUCUAUCAUCAUUACUCACGACGCACUUAAUAAUAUAGACGACGUUGAACUUCUAAACAACGUCGGUUCCAAAUAAAUGAGAGCCGUAUUACAGAACAUAUAGACGGCGUUGAUUAUGAUGAGAGCCGUAUUACAAAUAACGUCGUUUAAUUGUUAUUAGACGGCGGUUAUAAUGAAUUUCCGUCGGAAUUCAUUUCGUUCCUCUUCGUUUAUAAAAGAACUUGCGACGUGGAAAAUGUAUGAUGACGUCGUAUUUUUUAACGUUCAGAUUAUAUAUCUCGUUUUUUAGACGUCGGUAUUAUGGGAUUGGAGUCGUGUUAUUUUGAAUUACAUGGCGGUUCUUAAUCCUUCCCCGACGUGAUAUCCUGAAUAAUUGCUUCACAAUUGCGUCGUGGUUCUUCAUUGUUACGUUGCUUUAAGACGUCGGUAAAUAUGCUGAAUAACUGGUUCACAAUAACGUCGUGUUUUAUUUGAAGUAGAAAGUGAAGAAAUCACAUUACAAUAUAUUACAAAAUUAAUGUCAUACACUGCCAAUUACAUAAGCAUCAUUCAAUCCAUAUAUCUUCACACCCAUCUCGAAUAUUUUGACCGCCUAACUCACCCACCAGUUCAUCAAAUGUGUCAACAUUUGGCAUCCCUCUAGUAAAUGGCUCACACUCAAUUAUCACAUCACCUAAGACUUCAUCACCAAUAACAUCAUUAUAUUCUCUAUUAGGCAUUGAUAACACUACCGACCAACCACGAUGCAUCGGGUCGUCAACAAAAAAUAUUUGUUUGACUUGAGAAGCCAAAAGAAAUUGGUCAUUCCUAUGUCCAAUUUUACUCAAAUCUACAAGGGUAAAUCCAAGUUCGUCGACUACAAGACCAGAACUAUCUAUCCAAUCACACCUAAAGACUGGGAUUGUAAACUUUUGGUAGUCAAGGUCCCAAAUUUCUUGAAUGACACCAUAGAAACCCAUAUUUGAGAGAAUUGGGUUUUUAUCCUUGGCACUAGCAACUUGCAUGGUAUGUGCAAGUAAAUAAACUCCACUAUUUUGAGUUGUCCGCACAUCAUCUUGUGCCUUGAUAUUGAAUUUAAUACCUUUAAUAAGAUAGCUCCUAUAUAAUGGCACUGACAUGUUUGGACCAGCUGCUAGCCACCUUAAAUUUUCUGAUACGCCAUGAUUGUCUUCCUCAAGUUCACUUUGAACCUGCAAAUUAAUCAUAUCUUAAUUCAAUCUAACAUAUAAAUAAGAAGAAAAUUAAAAGAGAAAUAUGUUAUUCAACAAUAUAUACCUUGAAGCGUAGCCAUUGAAUGAAAGUGCUAUUGUGCUUAUCCUGCAGCCACUUUGUUCUCUUUCUAAAUUUUGGAUAAGCAGUCUUGAUGUGAAUCAUAUGUUGCCUACAUGACACGAAAAAUUCAAGCAUUACGGUCCUAAAUAUAGAAGAUAAACAUAAGAAAUAAUUUAAAAUGGAAACUUAAAGAAUAAAGCUCAUACGUACUCGAUAUAAGGUAGGACUUCCUCCGUAUUCUCCAAGACAUAUAGAUGUGCUUGAUUCAACAGGUCCUGAUCAACUACGCUCACUGUGCAACCUGAUAAUGGCUUUGAAAGUCCCAUCUUUUGGCUUGAAGGCACUCCAACUGUACUAACAUCAGAUAAAUGCUGAGUACAACACUCUACCGCUUCUUCAGCUAUAUACCGCUCAGCAAUGCAACCUUCGGGACGAGUACGAUUCUGAACAUACCCCGUCAGCACUUUCAUAUAUCUUUCAAACGGAUACAUCCACCUAAAAUAUACUGGCCCACAUAGACGAACUUCUCUGACAAGAUGUACUACUAGAUGAACCAUGAUAUCAAAGAAUGAAGGGGGAAAGUACUUCUCAAGCAAACACAGAGUAACUACUACAUCUUCUUCCAACUUAUCUAGCUUGGAAACAUCAACAGUCUUUGCACAUACAGCAUUGAAGAAGAAGCACAAACGAGUUAUUGCAUACCUUGCAGGCUUCUCCAAAACAGAACGAAUUGCCACAGGGAGCAAUUGUUGCAUUAAGGUAUGACAAUCAUGUGAUUUAAGGCCAAGAAGUCUUGAAUCUUGUAAAGAUACAAGAUUUUUAAUAUUUGAAGAAUAACCUUCAGGGACCUUCAUACCAUAGAAAGAAUUGCAAACCUCUCUCUUCUCUGCUCUUGACAAAUUCCAAGGCCCAUGAGGCAAACGAGUACGUCUUUCUCCAUACUCGGGUUGCAAAUCAGUUUUGACCCCCAUGUUCAAUAAAUCUAAUCGAGCAGCAAUCCCAUCUUUAUUUUUUCCAGGGAUCUCCAGCAAUGUACCAAUGAUACUAUCGCAAACAUUCUUCUCAAUGUGCAUAACAUCUAGGGCAUGCCUCACAGGAAGGUAUUUCCAAUACUCGAGAUCAAAGAAUAUUGAUUUCUUCUUCCAACAAACUCUGUCACCAUUUUCAACCAUAUGCAGCACUUCUUCUCCGGUUAAUGGCUCGGGAGGUAUGCCAUAUUCAGGUUUCCCAUUAAAAGCUGCACGUUGCCUCCUAUAUGGAUGAUUGAUUGGUAACCAUUUUCUAUGCCCAAUGUAACAAAUUUUGUGGCCAUUUUUCAACCUGUGACUAGGUGUAUCAUCGCCGCAUAUUGGACAAGCUUUAUAUCCUUUAACAACACAACCAGAUAAGUUUCCAUAGGCGGGGAAAUCAUUAAUUGUCCACAUUAAUGCAGCUCUGAGUGUAAAGUAUUCUCCAUUAUGUGCAUCAUACACUCCUCUAAUCCCAUCCCACAAAGAUUUUAAAUCAUCAAUCAAAGGCUCCAAGUAGACGUCUAUAUCAUUUCCGGGUUGUUUAGGACCGGAAAUCAAUAAGGUUAACAUCAUGAACUUUCGUUUCAUGCACAGCCAUGGAGGGAGAUUAUAUGUAACUAAGAUAACCGGCCAACAACUAUAUCUGCUACUUAGAGAACUGUGGGGAUUGAAUCCAUCAGAUGAAAGAGCCAAUCUCAAGUUUCUCGGCUCAUUACCAAACUCAGGCCAUUUAUCAUCAAGAAGUUUCCAAGACGGGGAAUCCGCCGGAUGAGACAUCUGACCGUCAAUUGAUUUUCUAGCAGCAUGCCAAGUCAAACUCUUAGCUGUCUCAUGUGAUUGAAACAUCCUUUUAAACCUUGGAAUUGGAGGAAAAUACCACAGCACCUUCGCUGGCACACCCUCUUUCAAGAUUGAAUCUUUGCCUUCCUUCCACCUUGAGAUACCACAAGUAGGACAAUUAGUUGAAUCCUCAUACUCCUUCCUAUACAAGAUGCAAUCAUUGGGGCAUGCGUGCAUUUUCUCAUAACUCAGCCCCAAUGCACACAAAGUCUUUUUAGCCUCAUACAUGGAGGUUGGUAUUGUAUUUCCUUCUGGAAGCAAAUCGCCUUGAAGUAUCAAUAAUUCUGUAAAACAGACAUCACUCAUCCCAUGUUUUGCCUUCAAAUUAUACAACUUCACUAAUGCCGAUAACUUCGUGUACUUUCUACAACCAGGGUACACUGGUUGAUCUCCAUCCCCAAUCACAUUGGCAAACUCAUACGGAUCCGAACCAAAAUCACCAAAAUCAUUAUCAUCCAUAUCAAUUUGUUCAGACACAAAACUGUACCUACUAUGGCCAUCAUCUUCUUCAACAUUUCUACUAGCAUUAGUAGUUGCUUCCCAAGGUUCUCCGUGAAAUGUCCAAUUCUUAUAGCUUUGGUCAAUUCCAUUAAAGUAUAAGUGAUCCCUUAUAAUUCCAACCCCAAACAACUUCAAAUUAACACAUUUAACACAUGGACAACGGAUAUGUGUUGUAGUUAGAAGAUUUUCUACAGCAAAGUUCAAAAAUGCUUCCACCCCAAAUUCAUAUGCCUUCGAUCUUCUAUCCGAGUGCAUCCAUGACUUAUCCAUCUCCGACACUAUAACCUAUUAUCUAUAAUAAAGUGAAAAUACAGGCAAUGACCAUCACUAUAGCAGAUUAUACAAUGAUCUAAUCGCAAGUAAUACACAACAGAGACGACGGGUUUUAAACAAAAACAGACGUAUUUGGCAUAUAUAGACGACAGAUUUUCAACAGACGUCGUCUAUUAUAAGUAAUACAAACGACGGUUUAUGAAAAAACCGUCGUGUAUAAGUAAUACAACGACGGUAGUUUAAAAAAACCGUCGUGUAAUCGUCGUCGUAAGCCUUAAAAUUCGUCGUGUCUCAGUUUAUUUUCAAGAACACAAAACCCAUUAAGAACACAACAUAUAUAUGAAACCAAGCAAGAAACCAACAUAUACAUGAAACCAAGGAUGAAAACAAUAAAUCCAUUCCCAAUUCAACAUAACAGAUAAUGUAAUCCAUGAACCCAUUAAACAGAAAAUCCAUGAACCCAUACCUAUAAGCACAUUAUUAACAGAUCGCAAAGCAUACACAUAAAACCCUUUAACAAAACAACCUAAACAACCUAAUAUCAUUCAAUGAAUUUACAAGGGGAAGAUAGGGUUUGUACUUACAGGUUGGACGAGCUCACAGAUUCGACGGAGCCUGGAGAGUGCAACUUUACAAGGGGAAGAUANNNNNNNNNNNNNNNNNNNNNNNNNNNNNNNNNNNNNNNNNNNNNNNNNNNNNNNNNNNNNNNNNNNNNNNNNNNNNNNNNNNNNNNNNNNNNNNNNNNNCCUGGAGAGUGCAACUUUUAAUAGAGCAGAAGUGAGAGAGCGAAAUGUUAUGUUGCGCGAAAUCUGAAAAUUUUAGGGUUCAGGGUUAGAAGUAUAAGAAUAAGAGCCAAAUAUAAAAAAAUUUAGGGCGCGCGAAAAUUUUUAGAGCGCGCGCUCUUUAAAACGUCGAAAGAAAAACCAUGGCGAAAGUUCUACAAGAACCGACGUAAAUGUAAUAUUCCACGACGGAAACACUGAACGUAACGCCGUUUAUUUUGACGCUUCAUUUUUCGGAUUAAUUUUAAAUUUAUUUUGAAUAUUUUGAUAUAAAGACGACUGAAAAACCACGUCGGGGUUAAGAAAUUGAAAACGUUGUAAAUUAUAAUAGACGACUUACAUAUUAAAAUGACGUCGUUUAAAGUAGAAACCAUGUCGGAUAUUUUACUGCACGACGUAACAUAUGUAUUCCACGACUCAACCACCGUCGUUAACAAUUAAUACCCCAAACCCUUAAAACUAAAUUAUAUAAUUUUAAAAAUUAAGUUUAUAAAAGGGUUUAUGGUUUUACAGCCUAAUAUAUACCCUAAACUACCCAAAAAUUAUACUUUAAAAAUAAACCCCAAUAAAUAACAACCCUAAUCUCUAAACCCUAGACUCUAAACCCUAAACCAUAAAACUAGAAGUGAUUUUAUGACUCAUCAAAACAAUUUUGUUUUGGAUGGUCAUUUUAAAUUUUUGUUAUUCAAAAUGAAUUUUUUCAAGGUUUAGGGGGAAGAAAAUAUAUCAAUGACUUCAUUGGAGUUGACUUUGCAUUUUUCUGAUUUAUUUUAAAUUUAUUUUGAAUAUUUUGAUAUAAAAAUAAUAAAAUAUUCUUAUCACAACAACAAACCACGUCGGUGUUAAUAAAUUGUAGACGUUGAAAAUUGUAAUAGACGACUAAGUUGUUAAAAUGACGUCGUUUAAAUGAGAAACCAUGGCUGAUAUUUAACUAUCCGACGUAAAAUAUAUAUUCCACGACCUAACCGCUGUCGUUACAAAGUACUACCCUGAACCCUUAAGAAAUUGAAGACGUUGUAAACCAUAAACGACUCAAUUGUUCAAAGAACGUCGUCUAAAUAUCCUUUUACGUCGAAUUUGUUUAAAACGAAACAACAAAAAAGGACGGCUUUUGACUUUAUUACGUCGUUGGAAAAGUAUUACACGUCGGUUACGCAAUUUGUAUGUUUGUUUUUUUUUUAAUUUAAGAAAACCUCAACAAAUUUUUACAUUAUAUAUUAUAGACAAAAUUUGUACAUUAUACAUAAAUAUCAAGUGUUCAAUAAUUGCCCUGUUUAAUAAUUUGGAAAACAAACUCUGCCCAUUCAUUCCGGACUUCAUCAAUGGCUUCUUGGGGGUAUGAAACUUCCUAGUUUCCCUUGGCAUACUGCAUAAACAAUGACUAUUAGGGUUUAUAAAUAAAAAGAAAUUCAAUCACAUAUUUUUCAUAACCGACGUAGUAUAUCCAUUCAACGACGUUAAUUUUACAUGACCGUCGUUGAUAAUACAAAAAACGACGUGAAAUGUAUGAAGGUAAUUUCUUCUUACCUUAUUCUCAAACCCCAAGGAAGGAUCCAUGAUGAUGUCCCUCAUGAAGCGCAUCACAUAAUACCCGCAUUCGACAUUGCUGGGUUGCUUUGGUGUGCCUGAGAGAGUUUUCCAAAUUACAUUUUUACGUCCUGCUCGGGCUAUGUGGGUAUUAUAUAUUUUUAAAGCACUGUUCACGAUGUUUUUCGCCUCUUCGUCGACCACACGAUGACCUGACAGAGGAUCCAGAAAAUAGACGGUCUCCUUCUUUGCUCUUACAAUCAGCAAGAUCCAAUGAAGGCUGCACAAAAUUAAUAUAAAAACGACGGUUAUUUACAAAAACGACGUAUUAUAGUAUUUCACACGACGAAAUAAAGUAGAUAACGACGACAUUAUAUAUUUAUCACGACGAUAAAUAAAUACCGACGUGGUUAGUAGUUUCAAACGACUAAAUAAAAUAAAACACCGACGUGGUUAGUUUAUAAGCUGUCAUUUAUUGAAAAUCAUAAAAACAAAAUCCUAAGGAGACUAACCCUGGAUUGUAAGGCAUCAUGAAAAUAUGUUCACCGUCUGUCUUCUGAAGUCGAGCUGCUACCAGUCGUGAUCUUUCAGUUAUUGUGCCAGAGUUGGCACUAACUGUAGCAGGGUCGAUAAAGCCAACCAUGCUGCACAUAUUGGCUUGUUUCAAAACAUCGUGUAAGUACCUAAAUACAUAAAAUAAUAUAAACAAGUCAGCACAAAAAAACACGACGGUUAUGUAUAAAAAAACGACGUAUUAUAAUAUUUCACACGACGUACUGAAAUAGAUGAGGACGUUAUAAUGUAUUUAUCACGACGGUAGUUAGUUAAGACGACGUGGUUAGUUAGUUAAGACGACUCAAUAUAUAAACCAACGAGGUAUUAUUUUAGAAGUACAAACCUCAUAUAUACAGCCAAUACAGUAGCUCCAAUUUCUUCCAUGCCUGCAAAUUGUGUAAUAUCUUCAGGCAGGAGGAAGGUAUCGCGCUCACCACCAAACACCUCCUUAUCAAUUGUAAAUUGGAGUGUCUUAUCCUCAGGCAGGAGUGUCGUUUCCACAAAACGACAAAGAGUUUUUAAAGAAGAUGGUGCCUCCAUAUUUGAAUAAGCACCAACUUCAAUAACCUGUUUAAAGAAAUAAAAAAAAUGAUGUGGUAAUUCAAUAAAGACGACGGUUUAAGGAAUAAAACGUCGUCUUAAAAAUAUUUAAACGACGGUAAAAAAACUGUCGUGGUAAUUCAAUAAAGACGACGGUUUUAUGAAUAAAGCGUCGUCUGAAACCAUUUAAACGACGGUGCAAAAACCGUCGUUUAAAUAUUUUAUUACGUCUUAAAAAAAGUCCGCCGUCUAAGUUUUAAACAAACGACGGAUUAAAUAAAAAUAUCGACGUCUGAAAUUUUGAAAAACAAAUAAAAAAGGCAAAGUUAUGUGAACAUACCUUGUCGUCAUGCUUUUCUUCAUCUUCUUUCUCCUUUUCUUCUUCCUUCUCUUCAUCUCUUUUUUCUUCUUCCUUCUCUUCAUCUGGCUGAUGUUUCCCCAUUUUGGCAGUAUCAUCCUCCAAAUGUAGGGAUCUCACAUCACCUCCAGAGCAGCUAGCUUUGUCAGACAUUGGAUUUUUGGGGCUUUAGCUAAUUCUUGGUUUAAGCAUGCUUGGAUCAAAAUUGGGAAUUAAUUGGGAAAGCUGACUCAGGAAAUGGUCCCUCUCAGCCUCUACCAAUUGUUUUGUCCUAGCCUCCAUCCUUAAGGCCUCUUCCCUUGCCUUAGCCUCCAUCUUUUUAGUCUCUUCUUGAAGGAGAACUCUUAAACUGUCCUUCAAACGGUCGUCAAAGCUCACCCUCUGUGGUUUGGGCAAAUUGAAAUAUUGCCUUGGGGAAACACCAGCACCAACUCCCCUCAGUCUGCCUGGAUGCUCGGGGCCCAAAGCCAUGGUCAGCACAUCAUUGCUGCCAUCUACUCUGACUUUGCCUUCCGAGACUUGUUUCUGCAAUUCAUCCUAAAAAAAGAUAAACAAAAAAACACACGACGGUUAUUUAUGUACAAACGACGUAUUAUAUAAUUUCACACGACGCAAUAACGUAUAAACCGACGUUAUUAUAACUUAUCACGACGGUAGUUAUACCGACGUGGUUAUUUAUUUAAAACGACGAAAUGAAUAAACAACCGACGUCUUAUGCUAUAAUUAAAGAUAACAGAGUAGUGAUUCCUAUUUAGACCGUUAACGACGUUUUUAAAAAAGUUUCGACGUGGUAAUAUCAUUCAAACGACGCGAAAAUGAACCACCGACGUCUUAUGCUAUAAUUACAGAAAAUUAGUAGUGAUUCCUAUUUAGACCUUUAACGACGUUUUUAAAAACUUCUCGACGUGGUAAUAUCAUUCACACGACGAAAAAUAUAACAUACGACGUAAUAAGAAUAAUUCACAGUUUAAUAAAAAUUUAAAACAGAGUGAUAGUAGGCUUACAAUUAAUUUUGCUUUCUCUGCCACCUUUGGAUCAGGGAUGUUACCAUGUUUGUCCUGUCUAGCUCUCUUCCAUAAGGUAGAUCGAUCAAUUUCUACCCCAGGCAUGGUUUCCUCCAAUUGAUCCUCCAAUCCAGCAUAUCCUUUUCGAGACAAUCGAUGAUUGUACUCGAGUUUCUCCCUAAUCUGUGCAUGUUGAGAAUGCACAGACUCAAAAUCUUUGGAUAGCCUUGAAGCUACAAAGGCAUCCCAUUGUGCUUUCUCUAUGAAUUUAUAUGUUUAAGGGGGUUGGCUUAAUUUCUCCCUGUCAUUGGUGUAUGGAAGGAUAUAAUGCCUCAUUAGUGUAGACUUGAAAUCCUUCCAUUUCUUGGAAGCAGAAGCUAAAACAGAGGUCUUGCCCCCUUGGCCUACAACAAAAGCCAUGUCAACUGCUUCCCAAAUCUGCUCCUUUAUAUCCUUGGGGAUUUGGGACCAUUUCUUGUCCACAAGUGGGAUCCUGGAGCGUGCCAACACACCAAUAUACGACUGCAUCUCAAUAUGUGCUUGGCCAACACCUUUCCCCCUUUUAUUGUACUCAACAAUUGGCCUCAGUUUCUGAAGCUUUCUCUUCACAACACGAGGCAUUGUGCUCAUACCUCGACCAGUCUUUGAAUCAUCAGAGAUUGUUGUCUGGCUGGUUUGUUCUGUCUCAGCAGAUGAUGAAGCAAACUUCAUCUUCUUCGAAGACUUCAUCUCCUUCGAAGACUUGUCUUGAGGAGCUACCAUUCCAAGCUUCUUGGAGCCAGAAUCCUUAGUUUGUUGUUGAGAAACCAUUUUAACAGACAAAACUGCAAGUGAAAAUAUUUCAGGAAAACAUUAAGAACACAAACGACGGUAUUAAAAAAAUACGACGUAUGAUAUGAUUUUAGACGACGCAAUGAAAUAAUCUCAGACGUAAUAAAUGUUUAAAACCAUUAUUUAUAUAACGUCGUGGUAUAUAUGUUCACACGACGUCAAUAGUAAUACACGUCGUGGUAAAACUAUUAUUUAUAUAACGUCGUGGUAUUUAUGUUCAUACGACGUCAAUAGUAAUACACCGUCGUGGUAUUAACAUUCACACGACGUAAAACAAUAAGAUAUUUUGUCGUCUAUAUUAGAUACCAACCCUAGUUUCUUUUUCUUUAUAUUUUAUCAAAUAAGGGAAAAACAAAAACCAUUGUUCAGAGAAAUCAAACCUGCAAUUAAACAAGCAUAUAAAAAAAGACUAUUAUUUUAAAAACAACUUUGUCAAUUUUCAGACGACGCUAGAACAACUGACGAACCGUCGUGGUCUACCGUCGUCUUAUUUAGUUGAUGUAGUUGUCUUCAAAGUUGGAAACUUUCUCUCUUUGUCUGUAUAUUUUAUCAAACUUGGAAAGAAGUAAAAUGAUUUUGGCCAGAAAAAAGGUAAAAAGAUUUUUCAAACAAAAAACGUAUGAGCAUGCAAAACAGUAACCAAAAUAGUGAAAAUGAAAGCUUACCUUUUGCGUGCAAUGAAAGCAAGAGGAAGAUGAUCGAUGUUUAAGUUCAGAGACGACGAAGAAGACGAGAGGAAGACGAUGAGAAACUCUGACAAUGCUCUGACAAGGAAAAAAGACGAAAAGGUUUCUCUGGGAGAUUGAAAUUUUUAAUCGGGUUUGGAAACAGUGCAUGUGUAAGUCGAAAAGUUGCUUACAUAUAAAACCAUUUCAAAAAAAUAAUACGGCGGUUACAUUUAACUACAUCGUUUUUAACUAACACGACGCAAUAUUUUUCGUUCGACGUGGAAUCAUUUCAUUUAACGUCGUUAGGUUUAAUAUAACCGACGUGGAUUUUAAUUUUUAAAUUAUGAAUAGAAUUUUUUUUCCCGUGACCUUUCAGUUUAUUUUUCAAUUACCGUGCGUUAUAAAUAGAGUUUUUUUUCCGGAGGAAAUUUAAAACGAAGGAAAUUAAUAUUCUGCAAUAUGUAAAGUUUCUUUUUUGGAUGACAGAUUUAAAUAAAAUAAGAAUAUAAAAACAACUAAUGUGUAAGUCAAGUAGACGAAAAGUUGCUUACAUAUAAAACCAUUUCAAAAAAAUAAUACGGCGGUUACAUAUAACUACGACGUAUAAAUUACAAAAUACGAUGGUACAUUUAACUUCGGACGUGGUAAAUAAAUACGACAGUAGUUUGUAGGUACCGUCGUAGUAAACUCAAAAAUUAAAGUACAUAAGUAAUAACUCGCGUCAUGGUAGAUUAUUUAACACGUCGUUUUUAUUAAUUUACCGACGUGGAUUUCUGUAAUAUACGUCGAUCAUACCGACGUUGAUUUUACAAUUUAAACGGCGGUGUUUUUGUAAGGACCGCCGUUGGUUUUAAAAAUUUAUUCUAUAAAUUUGUCGCUUUCAUUCAUUUUCGGUUUACAUUUAAGGUUCCAAGUUCUUCCUCUCUCAGUCUCUCAUGUCUCAAAGACAAUAAUUUGGAUGUUUUCUCAAAGAGAAAUUGAGCUUACUCGCAUCAAAUAUAUGUCCACAAGAAGAAGCUUGUCAACUAGCCUUCUCACUUCCUUGAUCAAGCCUGAUAGGACACUUAGUGCUUCUGAAUACUCCUUGCUUUCCAUCAAAAGAGAUGCAAGCCUGGCCUCCACUCGCUGUCGAAGGAAAGUUCGCUUCUCAGGGAAAUCUGAAGAUCAGAUGUGCCUGAUCCUCUGCUUGAUUUUCUUGCCUAAGAAGAUCCGUCGGAUUUGUGAUAGCCUCUUCCUUUAUCCGUAGAGCUUCAGAAGAAGAAGAUGGGUUUCAAGAAUGCGAUAAAGAAUAGAAAUGGCUUCAGAUGGCCUCUAAAGCAUGAGCAAUUGAAUCAGUAGUUUCUGGGAGAUAUGAUGAAGACAUUGUCAAUGCUUUGAACUAUACAAGUCCUGCAGAAAGAUAUGUUAAAGAAACUGAAACAACGGCGGUUUUCUGUUCUACCGUCGUCUUUUCUCGUCGUCUAUAUUAAGUUAAGAUGGCGGUAGAUUUAUAAUUACCGACGUAGAUUAUUUUGUUAAACGUCGUUAAGUGUACUACAACCGACGUGGAUUUUAUUUUUAAAUUAUAAAUAGAGUUUUUUUUCCCGUAUUCUUUCAGUUUUAGUUUUCAAUUCCAAAGCGUGAUAAAUAGAUUUUUCUUUCCCGAGGAAAUUUAAAAUGAGGGAAAUUAAUGUUCUAGAAUUUGUAAACUAACACGACGCAAUAUUUGCAAAUCUGUGUCAUCUGUUAAGAUUAUGAUGUGGAACAGAGUUCCAUCUGGUAAGAUUUCGUAACCCUUGGGAUCUCAGACAAAUCUGAUUAUGUCGGCGGUGUUCUAUAUAAACCGUCGUGGUUAUUUCAAUUCUUGUCAUUAAGUAGAUCUACCGACGUAGGAUAAGAAAAUCAAAGAAAAAAAUUGUUAACAAAAAUUCUUAUUAAGACGACCGUUAAAAUUAAAGGUACGACGUAUAAAAUGAAUAAAUACGACGAUAAAUUUUAUUGUACGAUUUAAAGAUAACGUCGUAGAACUAUACGAGAAUGACGUCGAUAUAUUUAUAUUUUCCGUCGUUGUAAAUUUAUUUAAUACGGCGAUAUUUUGUAUUUUAAAGCCGUGGAUUUGUUUGUAAUUAUACGGCGUCUUAUACGAAAACCUCGUCGUGUUAUUUUAUGAGUAAAAACGGCAGUUUUUAUUGAAAUCGUCGUCUUUACUUUCUACGUCGGUCGAUUCAUAACUUCUGCCGUUCUUUGUUGGCAUUGAUUUUACACUGCGGAAAUCUGUUUCAAAUAGACGUCGGUUGUUUAAUUAUGUACGUCGUUGUUUUUGAACAGCCAUUUGAAACUCCAUUUUUUAGUUGUCUAAGGUUGUAUUACACGACGGUGUUUUUAGAACCGUCGUCUUUUUAUAAACCACGACGGUUUUCACUUAGACCGUCGUUGUUUUCUGGUCGUCUUUUUCACUUUUUGUAGUAGUGCAUGAUAUUUGUUACAAGAAGCAAAUACCAAACAUCUCCUCUCAGUCUCCACUUAGAUGAUCAAUUCAAUUAAAUAUUGGCAAGAUAUUCAAAGCAUUAAGAACAGUAACAAAUACUCAACAUGGAAUAGUAAUAAAAAAUUAAUAUAAUUAUAAAAAUUAAGUAUUCAUAGUUAGGCUACAUCGUAGCCCUAGCAAGAGAAAUUAGUUCAUGAGAAAAGAAAAUAUAAACAAGAGCAUUAUUGUCAUAAAAUUGAUUUGGCCGAUGGGAUUGAUCUUCAGAGUCUCCAUAGGAACACCUUCGAAAGCUCCUCAAGUAGUGUAACAGUAAAUUCUUAGCUUUCUCUGUGAUAUAUUUGUGGGUGUAUGAAUUGUAUAUUGGAAGAUGAUGAUUCAUAGAGAGAGCUUAGGGUAACCUUAUAUAGAGUAAAACAACUAAACCCUACUCCAAAAAUGUCUGAAAAAACUCUCCUAAAGCAAAACAAAAUCCCAAACAAUUAAGGAAACAAGCUAGGAAAGAAUCCUUCUUUUACUUGGAAACAAGUCAGCCAACUUUCACGCACGUUUUAGGGUCGUUCCACUUCCUAGAAAAUUCUGGAAAAAUAUGAGUAACGUAGCUUGAUCUCUAAUCUCUAAGCUUUCUAAGCAUUUAUUAAUGCCACUAGGAAAAAUUGGAAAGGUCUUCAAAUCUUCAAUCUUCCACAGCAGUGCAGUUAUGACGAGAUUUCAACUUAGGUUGUCUUGAUUUGCAAGUCUGGAGCAUUUGACUUGGUAGAAAAUUAUGAAACUUUGAUACAAUGAUCUUCAAUGUCUUAGCUUUCUUCUCCGAUUGGUGUUGCACUAAAAUUCAUUUGAAAAGUUAAUUUUCAGUCAAAAUCCUUCCAAGAGCGCAGAAUUGCUGAAAAUAUAAGAAGCAAGGUAAUAAUACUCUUUUUAAUUAACUUUUCCUACAUAAACCAAAUAAAACAAAUAUAAAAAUAUAGGUACAAAAAACAAAACAAAGAAUAAUAUUAUGGCAAAGAAAGAAUGGAAACUCCAGUUCCGAACUUCACCAAUUCCAUCAAUCCCAUGACCUCCAUUACUCGACACCUGGUCUCCUUCGGUAAUUUUCUUCUGCCCUAUCUCUCUGUAUUAUAUAUGAUUAAAUAUGGUGGUCCUCCUCAUCUUCGAAUUAGAGGUAGUGAUUAUAAUAUCACUCUAAUUAAAAAUAAUUUUUAUUACAAAUCAUCCUUGAACUUUUUAACUGUCUUAAUUUUAGUCCUCAAACUUUCAAAUUAAUAAAUAUGACCUCCAAUAUUUUGGUUCAGACAUAAGUUUGGUCCAUAUCAUCGUUUGGAGAUGUGCAGGCAACGCAGGUGACCUCCCCACUACAAAAACAAGUGGCAACAGUCACCAUUAUUUGGUGACAUUUUAGUCACUACAGCAAAUGUCAUCAAAUGUCACCAUAUAAUGGUGACUGUUGCUACUUUUUUUUGUAGUGCUCCCUUGAUCACCAAACUAUAUGUUGCCACUAAUGGAAGGUCAAGACUGCGACCCCCACUCAUUCCUAGUUACUUUGGCAAUGCGAUUUUCACAACAAUGCCAAUUACUGUCGCGGGGGAUUUCCAAUCAAAAUGAACAUGGUAUGGAGCAAGCCACAUUCAUGAUGUUUUGGCUCAUAUGGAUGAUCAAGGUUUUAAAACGCAAGGCCCUGAGGCGAGACGCUUUUGAUCUCGUAAGGUGAAGUGUAACCCUUUCGAACUUCAAUUAUUUUAAUUAAAAAUAUAAAAUUAUAUAAAAUAAUUAUAAAUAAGUACUAAUUGUCUCCUAAGCUUAAUAAUCACUACUACAAAAAGUGAAAAAGAGGACCAGAAAACAACGACGGUCUAAGUGAAAACCGUCGUGGUUUUUAAAAAGAUGACGGUUCUAAAAACACCGUCGUGUAAUACCACCUUAGACAACUAAAAAAUGGAGAUUCAAAUGGCUGUUCUAAAACAACGACGUACCUAAUUAAACAAUCGACGUCUAUUUGAAACAGAUUUCCGCAGUGUAAAAUCAAAGUCAACAAAGAACGGCAGAAGUUAUGAAUCGACCGACGUAGAAAGUAAAGACGACGAUUUCAAUAAAAGCCGCAGUUUUUACUCAUAAAAUAACACGACGAGGUUUUCGUAUAAGACGCCGUAUAAUUACAAACAAAUCCACGGCUUUAAAAUACAAAAUAUCGCCAUAUUAAAUUAAUGUACAACGACGGAAAAUAUAAAUAUAUCGACGUCAUUCUCAUAUAGUUCUAUGACGUUAUCUUUAAAUCGUAUAAAAUUUAACGUCGUAUUUAUUCAUUUUAUACGUCGUACCUUUAAUUUAAACCGUCGUCUUAAUAAGAAUUUUUGUUAACAAUUUUUUUCUUUGAUUUUCUUAUCCUACGUCGGUAGAUCUACUUAAUGACAAGAAUUGAAAUAACCACGACGGUUUAUAUAGAAAACCGCCGACAUAAUCAGAUUUUUCUGAGAUCCCAAGGGUUACGAAAUCUUACCAGAUGGAACUCUGUUCCACAUCAUAAUCUUAACAGAUGACACAGAUUUGCAAUUAGAGAGACAAUUUUUUGGAAGUUGAUGAUGUGUGUGCGUUUGUGUAUCUACAAAUAUUAUACCUAACGUCGUUGCAAAUUUGCAAUCAGAGAGACAAUUUUCAACGACGGUUAUAUUAUACCUAACGACGUUUAAAAAACAAAUCAACGUCGCUCAACAAAUAUAUUAUGUCGUCUUAGUCUUACUUAAGACGACGAAAAACGACGACAGUAAUACAAAAACAGUCGUUGUUUUUAUAUUCUUAUUUUAUUUAAAUCUGUCAUCCAAAAAAGAAACUUUACAUAUUCCAGAACAUUAAUUUCCUUCAUUUUAAAUUUCCUCCGGAAAAAAAACUCUAUUUAUAACGCACUGUAAUUGAAAAAUAAACUGAAAGGUCACGGGAAAAAGAAUUCUAUUCAUAAUUUAAAAAUUCAAAUCCACGUCAGUUAUAUUAAACCUAACGACGUUAAAUGAAAAGAUUCCACGUCGCAAAACAAAUAUUGCGUCGUGUUAGUUAAAAACGACGGCAUAACAAAAAACCGUCGUUGUUUCAAACUGAAUUAAUUUAAAAUUUCUUCGGGAAAGCAAAAUCUAUUUAUAAUUUCCUCGGGUUAGUAAUAUUGCGUCGUGUUAGUUUACAAAUUCUAGAACAUUAAUUUUCCUCAUUUUAAAUUUCCUCGGGAAAGAAAAAUCUAUUUAUCACGCUUUGUAAUUGAAAACUAAAACUGAAAGAAUUCGGGAAAAAAAACUCUAUUUAUAAAUUAAAAAUAAAAUCCACGUCGGUUGUAUUACACUUAACGACGUUUAACAAAAUAAUCUACGUCGGUAAUUAUAAAUCUACCGCCAUCUUACCCUAAUAUAGACGACGAGAAAAGACGACGGUAGAACAGAAAACCGCCGUUGUUUCAGUUUCUUUAACAGUUUGGUCCUUUAUCUUUCUGCAGGACUUGUAUAGUUCAAAGCAUUGACAAUGUCUUCAUCAUAUCUCCCAGCAACUACUGAUUCGAUUGCUCAUGCUUUAGAGGCCAUCUGAAGCCAUUUCUAUUCUUUAUCGCAUUCUUGAAACCCAUCUUCUUCUUCUGAAGCUCUACGGAUAAAGGAAGAGGCUAUCACAAAUCUGACGGAUCUUCUUAGCCAAGAAAAUCAAGCAGAGGAUCAGGCACAUCUGAUCUUCAGAUUUCCCUGAGAAGCGAACUUUCCUUCGACAGCGAGUGGAGGCCAGGCUUGCAUCUCUUUUGAUGGAAAGCAAGGAGUAUUCAGAAGCACUAAGUGUCCUAUCAGGCUUGAUCAAGGAAGUGAGAAGGCUAGUUGACAAGCUUCUUCUUGUGGACAUAGAUUUGAUGCGAGUAAGCUCAAUUUCUCUUUGAGAAAGACAUCCAAAUUAUUGUCUUUGAGAUGUGAGAGACAGUGUCUCUGAGAGAGGAAGAACUUGGAACCCUAAAUGUAAACCGAAAAUGAAUGAAAGCGACAAAUUUAUAGAAUAAAUUUUUAAAACCAACGGCGGUCCUUACAAAAAAACCGCCGUUUAAAUUGUAAAAUCAACGUCGGUAUGACCGACGUAUAUUACAGAAAUCCACGUCGGUACAUUAAUAAAAACGACGUGUUAAAUAAUCUACCAUGACGCGAGUUAUUACUUAUGUACUUUAAUUUUUGAGUUUACUACGACGGUACUUACAACACUACUGUCGUAUUUAUUUACCACGUCCGAAGUUAAAUGUACCGUCGUAUUUUGUAAUUUAUACGUCGUAGUUAUAUGUAACCGCCGUAUUUUUUUUUUGAAAUGGUUUUAUAUGUAAGCAACUUUUCAUCUACCUGACUUACACAUGCACUGUUUCCAAACCCGAUUAAAAAUUUCAAUCUCCCAGAGAAAACUUUUAGACUUUUUUCCUUGUCAGAGCACUGUCAGAAUAUCUCAUCGUCUUCCUCUCAUCUUCUUCGUCGUCUCUGAACUUAAACAUCGAUCGUCUUCCUCUUGCUUUCAUUGCACGCAAAAGGUAAGCUUUCAUUUUCACUAUUUUGGUUGCUGUUUUGCAUGCUCAUACGUUUUUUGUUUGAAAAAUCUUUUUACCUUUUUUAUGGCCAAAAUCAUUUUAUUUCUUUCCAAGUUUGAUAAAAUAUACAGACAAAGAGGGAAAGUUUCCAACUUUGAAGACAACUACCUCAACUAAAUAAGGCGACGGUAGCUUCUUAUUUACGUGGUUAAAUAUGUAGACCACGAUGGUUCGUCAGUCGUUCUAGCGUCGUCUGAAAAUUGACAAAGUUGUUUUUAAAAUUAUGGUCUUUUUUUUAUUUGCUUGUUUAAUUGCAGGUUUGAUUUCUCUGAACAAUGGUUUUUGUUUUUCCCUAAUUUGAUAAAAUAUAAAGAAAAAGAAAGUAGGGUUGGUAUCUAAUAUAGACGACAGUAUCUUAUUGUUUUACGUCGUGUGAAUGUUAAUACCACGACGUCAUAUUAAAUCACGUCGGCCGGUAAAUAUCGACGUAAUAAGUUAUUAUUACGUCUUAUUUUAUAUUAUUUCGUCGUUGUUUAAUUACCUUGGUUUUAAACAUUUAUUACGUCUGAGAUUAUUUCAUUGCGUCGUUUAAAAUCAUAUCAUACGUCGUAUUUUAUUAAUAACCGUCGUUUGUGUUCUUAAUAUUUUCCUGAAAUAUUUUCACUUGCAGUUUUGUCUGUAAAAAUGGUUUCUCACCAAGACCAAAGUAAGGAUUCUGGCUCCAAGAGAAGUCUUCGAAGAAGAUGAAGUCUUCGAAGAAGAUGAAGUUUGCUUCAUCAUCUGUUGAGACAGAACCAACCAGCACGACAACAAUCUCUGAUGAUUCAAAGUCUGGUCGAGGUAUGAGCACAAUGCCUCGUGUUGUGAAGAGAAAACUUCAGAAACUGAGGCCAAUUGUUGAGUACAAUAAAAGGGGGAAAGGAAUUGGCCAAGCACAUAGUGAGAUGCAGUCCUACAUUGGUGUGUUGGCACGCUCCAGAGUUCCACUUGUGGACAUGAAAUGGGCUCAAAUCCCCAAGGAUAUAAAGGAGCAGAUUUGGGAAGCAGUUAACAUUGCUUUUGUGGUAGGUCAAGGGGGCAAGAACUCUGUGUUAGCUUCUGCUGCCAAGAAAUGGAAGGAUUUCAAGUCUACACUAACGAGGCAUUAUAUCCUUCCAUACACCAAUGACAGGGAGAGAUUAAGCCAACCCCCUGAAACAUAUAAAUUCAUAGAGAAAGCACAAUGGGAUGCCUUUGUAGCUUCAAGGUUAUCCAAAGAUUUUGAGUCUGUGCAUUCUCAACAUGCACAGAUUAGGGAGAAACUUGAGUACAAUCAUCGAUUGUCUCGAAAAGGAUAUGCUGGUUUGGAGGAUCAAUUGGAGGAAACCAUGCCUGGGGUAGAAAUUGAUCGAUCUACCUUAUGGAAGAGAGCUAGACAGGACAAACAUGGUAACAUCCCGGAUCCAAAGGUGGCAGAGAAAGCAAAAUUAAUUGUAAGCCUACUCACUCUGUUUUAAAUUUUUAUUAAACUGUGAAUAAUUCUUAUUACGUCUUAUGUUAUAUUUUGCGUCGUGUGAAUGAUAUUACCACGUCGAAAUUUUGUUAAAAACGUCGUUAAAGGUCUAAAUCAGGAAUCACUACUCUGUUUUCUGUAAUUAUAGCAUAAGAUGUCGGUGUUUCAUUUUCGCGUCGUUUGUAUUAAAUUACUACGUCGAAAUGUUUUAAAAAAGGUCGUUAAAGGUGUGAAUAUUGAAUCAUCCCUCUGUUAUCUGUAAAUAAAGCAUAAGACGUCGGUGGUUUAUUCAUUUCGUCGUUUUAAAAAACUAACCACGUCGGUAUAACUACCGUCGUGAUAAAUUAUAAUAACGUCGAUUUAUAUGUUAUUGCGUCGUGUGAAAUUAUAUAAUACGUCGUUUGUAUAUAAAUAACCGUCGUGUGUUUUUUGUUCUUACUUUUUUAUAUAUCUUUGUUUUAGGAUGAAUUGCAAAAACAAGUCUCGGAAGGCAAAGUCACUGUAUCUGGCAGCAAUGAUGUGCUGACCAUGGCUUUGGGCCCCGAGCAUCCAGGCAGAGUGAGAGGAGUAGGUGCUGGGAUUUCACCAAGGCAAUAUUUCAAUUUACCCAAACCACAGAUAGUGAGCUUUGACGACCGUUUAAAGGACAGUUUAAGAGUUCUCCUUCAAGAAGAGACUAAAAAGAUGGAAGCUAAGGCAAGGGAAGAGGCUUUAAGGAUGGAGGCUAGAACGAAACAAUUGGUAGAGGCUGAGAGGGAGCAUUUCCUGAGUCAGCUUUCUCAAUUAAUUCCCAAUUUUGAUCCAAGCAUGCUUAAACCCAGAAUUAGCCAAAGUCCCAAAAAUCCAAUGUCUGACAAAGCAAGCUGCUCUGGAGGUGAUGUGAGAUCCCUACAUUUUGAGGAUGAUACUGCCAAAAAUGGGAAACAUCAGGAAGAAAAGGUAACAUAUCUGAACUUUGAAUUCUCUGUUUUUUUAAAACCAUUAGACGUCGUAUUAUUAAUAAAACCGUCGUUUGAAAUACAUAUCACGACGAUUUUAAAAAUAAACCGUCGUUUGUAUUUCAAUACCACGUCGUAUUUAGUUUCCUUGUUUUACACGCCAUUAAACGUCGUUAUUUUUAAAACUUUGUGGUUUUUAGACGACGGAGUUAGUCAUUCCCGACGUAAUAGAUGAAGAGAAGAAAGAAGAAAAACAAGAUGAAAAGGAGAAAGAAGAUGACGACCAGGUAUGUUCACAUAACUUUGCCUUUUUUAUUUAUUUUUCAAAAUUCCAGACGUCGAUAUUUUUCUUUAAACCGUCGUUUGUUUACAACUUAGACGGCGGAAUUUUUUUCUAAGACGUAAUAAAUUAUUCACCACGACGGGUUUUUCACCGUCGUUUAAAUUCUUUUCAGACGACGUUUUAUUCCUUAAACCGUCGUUUUUAUUGAAUUACCACGUCAUUUUUUUUAAUUCUUUAAACAGAUUAUUAAAGUUGUUGAUUAUUCAAAUAUGGAGGCGCCAUCUUCUUUAAAAUCCCUUUGUCGUUAUGUGGAAACGACACUCGUGCCUCAGGAUAAGACCCUGCACUUUACAAUUGAUAAGGAGGUGUUUGGUCUAGAGCGCGAUACCUUCCUCCUGCCUGAAGAUAUUACACAAUUUGCAGGCAUGGAAGAAAUAGGAGCUACUGUCAUUGCUGUAUAUAUGAGGUUUGUCAUUCUAAAAUAAUACGUUGUUGGUUUAUUUAUUGCGUCGUCUUAACUAACUAACCACGUCGUUAGUAUGUACCGUCGUGAUAAAUAUAUUAUAACGUCGUUGUCUAUUUCAGUACGUCGUGUGAAAUUUUAUAAUACGUCGUUUUGUUAUACAUAACCGUCGUGUGUUUUUUUGUGCUAACUUGUUUAUAUUAUUUUAUAUAUUUAGGUACUUACACGAUGUUUUGAAACAAGCAAAUAUGUGCAGCAUGGUUGGCUUUAUCGACCCUGCUACAGUUAGUGCCAGCUCUGGCACAAUAGCUGACAGAUCACGACUAGUAGCAGCUCGACUUCAGAGGACUGACGGUGAACAGAUUUUCAUGAUGCCUUACAAUCCAGGGUUAGUCUCCUUAACAUGAUUUUGUUUUUAUGAUUUUCAAUAAAUGACAGCGUAUAAACUAACCACGUCGGUGUUUUAUUUUAUUGAGUCGUUUGAAACUACUAACCACGUCGGUAGUUAUUUAUCGUCGUGAUAAAUAUAUAAUGUCGUCGAUUGCUACUUUAUUUCGUCGUGUGAAAUAUUAUAAUACGUCGUUUUUGUAAAUAACCGUCGUUUUUAUAUUAAUUUUGUGCAGCCGUCAUUGGAUCUUGCUGAUUGUAAGAGCAAAGAGGGAAACCGUCUAUUUUCUGGAUCCUCUGCCAGGAAAUCGUGUGAUCGAUGAAGAGGCCAAAAACAUCGUGAACAGUGCUAUAAAACUUUAUAAUUCUCACAUAGCCAGAUCAGGCCGUAAGGCAGUAAUUUGGAAAACUCUGUCAGGCACACCAAAGUAACCCAGCAGUGUCGAAUGCGGGUAUUAUGUGAUGCGCUUCAUGAGGGACAUCAUCAUGGAUCCUUCCUUGGGGUUUAAGAAGAAGGUAAGAAGAAAUUACCUUCAUACAUUUUACGUCGUUUUUUGUAUUAUCAACGACGGUCAUGUAAAAUUACCGUCGUUGAAUAGAUAUAGUACGUCGGUUAUGAAAAAUAUCGUCGUCUGUGAUUGAAUUUCUUUUUAUUUAUAAACCCUAAUAGUCAUUGUUUAUGCAGUAUGCCAAGGGAAAACAGGAAGCGCCAUACCCCCAAGAAGCAAUUGAUGAAGUCUGGAAUGAAUGGGCAGAGUUUGUUUGCCUUCACCUGGAAUAGGGGAAUUAUUGAACACUUGAUAUUUAUGUAUAAUGUACAAAUUUUGUCUAUAAUAUAUAAUGUAAAAAUUUGUUGAGGUUUUCUUAAAUUUAAAAAAAAAAAAACAUACAAAUUGCGUAACCGACGUGUAAUACUUUUCCAACGACCUAAUAAAGUCAAAAACCGUCGUUUUUUGUUGUUUCGUUUUAAACAAAUUCGACGUAAAAGGAUAUUUAGACGACGUUCAUUGAACAAUUGAGUCGUUUAUGGUUUACAAAGUCUUCAAUUUCUUAAGGGUUCAGGGUAUUACUUUGUAACGACAGCGGUUAAGUCGUGGAAUAUAUAUUUUACGUCAGAUAGUUAAAUAUCUGCCAUGGUUUCUCAUUUAAACGACGUCAUUUUAACAACUUAGUCGUCUAUUAUAAUUUACAACGUCUACAAUUUAUUAACACCGACGUGGUUUGUUGUUGUGAUAAGAAUAUUUUAUUAUUUUUAUAUCAAAAUAUUCAAAAUAAAUUUAAAAUAAAUCAGAAAAAUACAAAGUCAACUCCUAUGAAGUCAUUGAUAUAUUUUCUUCCCCCUAAACCUUGAAAAAAUUCAUUUUGAAUAACAAAAAUUUAAAAUGACCAUCCAAAACAAAAUUAUUUUGAUGAGUCAUAAAAUCACUUCUAGUUUUAUGGUUUAGGGUUUAGAGUCUAGGGUUUAGAGAUUAGGGUUGUUAUUUAUUGGGGUUUAUUUUUAAAGUAUAAUUUUUGGGUAGUCUAGGGUAUAUAUUAGGCUGUAAAACCAUAAACCCUUUUAUAAACUUAAUUUUUAAAAUUAUAUAAUUUAGUUUUAAGGGUUUAGGGUAUUAAUUGUUAACGACGGUGGUUGAGUUGUGGAAUACAUAUGUUACGUCGUGCAGUAAAAUAUCCGACAUGGUUUCUACUUUAAACGACGUCAUUUUAAUAUGUAAGUCGUCUAUUAUAAUUUACAACGUUUUCAAUUUCUUAACUCCGACGUAGUUUUUCAGUCGUCUUUAUAUCAAAAUAUUCAAAAUUAAUUUAAAAUUAAUCCGAAAAAUGAAGCAUCAAAAUAAACGGUGUUACGUUCAGUGUUUCCGUCGUGGAAUAUUACAUUUACGUCGGUUCUUGUAGAACUUUCGCCAUGGUUUUUCUUUCGACGUUUUAAAGAGCGCGCGCUCUAAAAAUUUUCGCGCGCCCUAAAUUUUUUUAUAUUUGGCUCUUAUUCUUAUACUUCUAACCCUGAACCCUAAAAUUUUCAGAUUUCGCGCAACAUAACAUUUCGCUCUCUCACUUCUGCUCUAAUUAAAAGUUGCACUCUCCAGGCUCCGUCGAAUCUGUGAGCUCGUCCAACCUGUAAGUACAAACCCUAUCUUCCCCUUGUAAAUUCAUUGAAUGAUAUUAGGUUGUUUUGUUAAAGGGUUUUAGGUAUAUGCUUUGCGAUCUGUUAAUAAUGUGCUUAUAGGUAUGGGUUCAUGGAUUUUCUGUUUAAUGGGUUCAUGGAUUUUCUGUUUAAUGGGUUCAUGGAUUACAUUAUCUAUUAUGUUGAAUUGGGAAUGGAUUUAAUUUUGUCGGAUCUUUUAAUCACCCUAUGUUAUGUUGAAUUGGGUUCAUGUAUAUGUUGGUUUCUUGCUUGGUUUCAUAUAUAUGUUGUGUUCUUAAUGGGUUUUGGGUUCUUGAAAAUAAACUGAGUUUUGGGUUCUUGAAAAUAAACUGAGACACAACGCCUUUUUAGGCAUACGACGACGAUUACACGACGGUUUAUGAAAUUUUUCAUAAACCGUCGUUUGUAUUACUUAUAUUAGACGACGUCUGUUGAAAAUCCGGCGUCUAUAUAUGCCAAAUACGUCUGUUUUUGUUUAAAACCCGUCGUCUCUGUUGUGUAUUACUUGCUAUUAGAUCUUUGUAUAAUCUGCUAUAGUGAUGGUCAUUACCUGUAUUUUCACUUUAUUAUAGAUAAUAGGUUAUAGUGUCGGAGAUGGAUAAGUCAUGGAUGCACUCGGAUAGAAGAUCGAAGGCAUAUGAGUUUGGGGUGGAAGCAUUUUUGAACUUUGCUGUAGAAAAUCUUCUAACUACAACACAUAUCCGUUGUCCAUGUGUUAAAUGUGUUAAUUUAAAGUUAUUUGGGGUUGGAAUUAUAAGGGAUCACUUAUACUUUAAUGGAAUUGACCAAAGCUAUAAGAAUUGGACAUUUCACGGAGAACCUUGGGAAGCAACUACUAAUGCUAGUAGAAAUGUUGAAGAAGAUGAUGGCCAUACUAGGUACAGUUUUGUGUCUGAAGAAAUUGAUAUGGAUGAUAAUGAUUUUGGUGAUUUUGGUUCCGAUCCGUAUGAGUUUGCCAAUGUGAUUGGGGAUGGAGAUCAACCAGUGUACCCUGGUUGUAGAAAGUACAUGAAGUUAUCGGCAUUAGUAAAGUUGUAUAAUUUGAAGGCAAAACAUGGGAUGAGUGAUGUCUGUUUUACAGAAUUAUUGAUACUUCAAGGCGAUUUUCUUCCAGAAGGAAAUACAAUACCAACCUCUAUGUAUGAGGCUAAAAAGACUUUGUGUACAUUGGGGCUGAGUUAUGAGAAAAUGCACGCAUGCCCCAAUGAUUGCAUCUUGUAUAGGAAGGAGUAUGAGGAUUCAACUAAUUGUCCUACUUGUGGUAUCUCAAGGUGGAAGGAAGGCAAAGAUUCAAUCUUGAAAGAGGGUGUGCCAGCGAAGGUGGUGUGGUAUUUUCCUCCAAUUCCAAGGUUUAAAAGGAUAUUUCAAUCACAUGAGACAGCUAAGAGUUUGACAUGGCAUGCUGCUAGAAAAUCAAUUGACGGUCAGAUGUCUCAUCCGGCGGAUUCCCCGUCUUGGAAACUUCUUGAUGAUAAAUGGCCUGAGUUUGGUAAUGAGCCGAGAAACUUGAGAUUGGCUCUUUCAUCUGAUGGAUUCAAUCCCCACAGUUCUCUAAGUAGCAGAUAUAGUUGUUGGCCGGUUAUCUUAGUUACAUAUAAUCUCCCUCCAUGGCUGUGCAUGAAACGAAAGUUCAUGAUGUCAACCUUAUUGAUUUCCGGUCCUAAACAACCCGGAAAUGAUAUAGACGUCUACUUGGAGCCUUUGAUUGAUGAUUUAAAAUAUUUGUGAGAUGGGAUUAGAUGAGUGUAUGAUGCACAUAAUGGAGAAUACUUUACACUCAGAGCUGCAUUAAUGUGGACAAUUAAUGAUUUCCCCGCCUAUGGAAACUUAUCUGGUUGUGUUGUUAAAGGAUAUAAAGCUUGUCCAAUAUGCGGCGAUGAUACACCUAGUCACAGGUUGAAAAAUGGCCACAAAAUUUGUUACAUUGGGCAUAGAAAAUGGUAACCAAUCAAUCAUCCAUAUAGGAGGCAACAUGCAGCUUUUAAUGGGAAACCUGAAUAUGGCAUACCUCCCGAGCCAUUAACCAGAGAAGAAGUGCUGCAUAUGGUUGAAAAUGGUGACAGAGUUUGUUGGAAGAAGAAAUCAAUAUUCUUUGAUCUCGAGUAUUGGAAAUACCUUCCUGUGAGGCAUGCCCUAGAUGUUAUGCACAUUGAGAAGAAUGUUUGCGAUAGUAUUAUUGGUACAUUGCUGGAGAUCCCUGGAAAAAAUAAAGAUGGGAUUGCUGCUCGAUUAGAUUUAUUGAACAUGGGGGUCAAAACUGAUUUGCAACCCGAGUAUGGAGAAAGACGUACUCGUUUGCCUCCUGGGCCUUGGAAUUUGUCAAGAGCAGAGAAGAGAGAGGUUUGCAAUUCUUUCUAUGGUAUGAAGGUCCCUGAAGGUUAUUCUUCAAAUAUUAAAAAUCUUGUAUCUUUACAAGAUUCAAGACUUCUUGGCCUUAAAUCACAUGAUUGUCAUACCUUAAUGCAACAAUUGCUCCCUGUGGCAAUUCGUUUUGUUUUGGAGAAGCCUGCUAGGUAUGCAAUAACUCGUUUGUGCUUCUUCUUCAAUGCUAUAUGUGCAAAAACUGUUGAUGUUUUCAAGCUAGAUAAGUUGGAAGAAGAUGUAGUAAUUACUCUGUGUUUGCUUGAGAAGUACUUUCCCCCUUCAUUUUUUGAUAUCAUGGUUCAUCUAGUAGUACAUCUUGUCAGAGAAGUUCGUCUAUGUGGGCCAGUAUAUUUUAGGUGGAUGUAUCCGUUUGAAAGAUAUAUGAAAGUGCUGAUGGGGUAUGUUCAGAAUCGUACUCGUCCCGAAGGUUGCAUUGCUGAGCGGUAUAUAGCUGAAGAAGCGGUAGAGUUUUGUACUCAGCAUUUAUCUGAUGUUAGUACAGUUGGAGUGCCUUCAAGCCAAAAGAUGGGACUUUCAAAGCCAUUAUCAGGUUGCACAGUGAGCGUAGUUGAUCAGGACCUGUUGAAUCAAGCACAUCUAUAUGUCUUGGAGAAUACGGAGGAAGUCCUACCUUAUAUCGAGUACGUAUGAGUUUUAUUCUUUAAGUUUCCAUUUUAAAUUAUUUCUUAUGUUUAUCUUCUAUAUUUGGGACCGUAAUGCUUGAAUUUUUCGUGUCAUGUAGGCAACAUAUGAUCCACAUCAAGACUGCUUAUCCAAAAUUUAGAAAGAGAACAAAGUGGCUGCAGGAUAAGCACAAUAGCACUUUCAUUCAAUGGCUACGCUUCAAGGUAUAUGUUGUUGAAUAACAUAUUUCUCUUUUAAUUUUCUUCUUAUUUCUAUGUUAGAUUGAAUUAAGAUAUGAUUAAUUUGCAGGUUCAAAGUGAACUUGAGGAAGACAAUCAUGGCGUAUCAGAAAAUUUAAGGUGGCUAGCAGCUGGUCCAAACAUGGCAGUGCCAUUAUAUAGGAGCUAUCUUAUUAAAGGUAUUAAAUUCAAUAUCAAGGCACAAGAUGAUGUGCGGACAACUCAAAAUAGUGGAGUUUAUUUACUUGCACAUACCAUGCAAGUUGCUAGUGCCAAGGAUAAAAACCCAAUUCUCUCAAAUAUGGGUUUCUAUGGUGUCAUUCAAGAAAUUUGGGACCUUGACUACUAAAAGUUUACAAUCCCAGUCUUUAGGUGUGAUUGGAUAGAUAGUUCUGGUCUUGUAGUCGACGAACUUGGAUUUACCCUUGUAGAUUUGAGUAAAAUUGGACAUAGGAAUGACCAAUUUGUUUUGGCUUCUCAAGUCAAACAAAUAUUUUUUGUUGACGACCCGAUGCAUCGUGGUUGGUCGGUAGUGUUAUCAAUGCCUAAUAGAGAAUAUAAUGAUGUUAUUGGUGAUGAAGUCUUAGGUGAUGUGAUAAUUGAGUGUGAGCCAUUUACUAGAGGGAUGCCAAAUGUUGACACAUUUGAUGAACUGGUGGGUGAGUUAGGCGGUCAAAAUAUUCGAGAUGGGUGUGAAGAUAUAUGGAUUGAAUGAUGCUUAUGUAAUUGGCAGUGUAUGACAUUAAUUUUGUAAUAUAUUGUAAUGUGAUUUCUUCACUUUCUACGUUCAAAUAAAACACGACGUUAUUGUGAACCAGUUAUUCAGCAUAUUUACCGACGUCUUAAAGCAACGUAACAAUGAAGAACCACGACACUAUUGUGAAGCAAUUAUUCAGGAUAUCACGUCGGGGAAGGAUUAAGAACCGCAAUGUAAUUCAAAAUAACACGACUCCAAUCCCAUAAUACCGACGUCUAAAAAAUGAGAUAUAUAAUCUGAACGUUAAAAAAUACGACGUCAUCAUACAUUUUCCACGUCGCAAGUUCUUUUAUAAACGAAGAGGAACGAAAUGAAUUCCGACGGUAAUUCAUUAUAACCGCCGUCUAAUAUCAAUUAAACGACGUUAUUUGUAAUACGGCUCUCAUCAUAAUCAACGCUGUCUAUAUGUUCUGUAAUACGGCUCUCAUUUAUUUGGAACCGACGUUGUUUAGAAGUUCAACGUCGUCUAUAUUAAUAAGUGCGUCGUGAGUAAUGAAUACAUAUAAAUACAAUGUCGACUAUGUAAAUGCCACCGACGUUGUUUCGCAUUUCAACGUCAACUAUAUAAAUACAUACGUCGUACAUAAUGACACUGACAACUAUUUCCACGUCAUCUUUUUUAGAAAAAUCGAAGUGGAAAAUUUAUUUCACGACGGUUGUUUGUAAAUAAGAGACGUAGUAGAUUUCAAUAACGUCGUCUUCUCAUGUAUUUAAAGACGUCAUAUUUUUUCUUGUCGUGAAAAUUAUAUUUAACGGCGUAGUGUUUUAGUUGUCGUCGUUGUAUGUCUAUCUUGCGGCCUUGUUCUUUUAAUAUGUGUCAUAUUUUUCCUUUUUCACGACGGUGAUUUGUUUGAGUUGGUCGUCUAUUCUCAUCCUCGACUAUUUUUUAGAACUUUAGCAGACUAAACACGUCUGUUUUUAUUUUUUUUCGACGUUGUUUUAUUUAACAACGUCUAAUAUCUAUCGUCGUUGUUUGUUUCUGAAAAUAGGACGUAUAAAUUUUGUAAUACGACUCUCAUAUAUUUGUAACCGACGUUGUUUCGUUGUUCAACGUCUACUCUAUAAAUACAUACGUCGUAAAUAAUGACACUGACAACUAUUUCCACGUCAUCUUUUAUAGAAAAAUCGAAGUGGAAAAUUUAUUUUACGACGGCUGUUUUUAUAUAGGCGACGUAGUAGGUAUCAAUAACGUCGUCUUCUAAUGUAUUUAAAGACGUCAUAUUUUUUAUUGUCGUGAAAAUGAUAUUUAACGGCGUCUUAUUUUAAUUUUCGUCGUUGUAUGUCUAUCUUGCGGCCUUGUUCUGUUAAUAUGUGUCAUAUUUUUCCUUUUUAACGACGGUUUUUUUAGAGAGUUGGUCGUCUAUUCUCAUCCUCGACUGCUUUUUUAGAUCUUUUUGCAGUACAAAGACGUCGUUUUGUAUUUGUUGAUGACGUUGUAUAUUUUAACAACGACGGUGAUUUAGCGUCGUGGUUUAUGAGAGAAAAGAUGACGGUGGAUUCCACGACCAUUGAAAAAUCGAAUACACGACGGUGAUUUACCGUCUUCUUUUUGCUUUUUUGUAGUAGUGAAUUAAGUAUUCUAGGAGGAAAAUUUAGGGUGCUGCAGAUAUGAUUUCUGGUUCAACAGUUCUAUUGGGUGGGAGGGGCAUAAACAGUUGCAGGGUAUUUACCCUAAAUCUCACAGAGCCUUAAAAAUAGGCCGACGAUUGUGUUAAAUUACGAGCGUGCCACUAUUAGUAGUGUAAAACCCUAAUAGAUCUUAAUGAAUUAAAAUAACUUAUGCACCAAGAAACUUGACUUCCGAUCAAACAAUUGUGCUUGGAAUGGGGAACUAGUUCAAUAUGGAUUCUUUUCUAUGCUUCAAGACAAAUGAGGAUUUUACUAUUUCUCUUAUACAAAGCUAAGAGAUAAAAAAUAGAAACAAGUAAACAAUGUGUCAGAUCGAUCAUAUCUGGUAAUAACUAAGACUUCUACCACCUUUAAGUUGCCUCAGAGCCACUGGAAUGAGAGUAUUUUUGCUCACCACUUUAACCCAAGGUGUACUAUAACUACCCUUCUCAAUACUUGACACGUGUCUACGGGCAUAACCAUGGUUCCACAAAUACAAAACAAAGAGUUAACUAUGGUUAUGCACAUGGACACAUGUCAAGUGUUGAGAAGUAUGGUGAGGGUACACCUUGUGUUCAAGAGGUGAGAAAAAAUAUUUCCCAUUGGAAUAGCCUCAAAAUGUUAGGAAGAUCUUGUAACAAUCGAGCAGAAGCGCCACUAACAGGCAAUUCAAGAUUGUUUCCCCUUUUUUGAGACUUAUAUUUGAUCAUGCGUGAUUAUCAAUUAGGAGCAUCCGCAAUGGUUGUUCAAUAGUUCAAUAAAUUAAUUUUUUUUGGAAUAUAUUGAAUUGAAUUGAAAUGCAAUUUUACUUACAAUGGCACAGUUCAAUUGCAGUUCAAUUGCUUCAGAUCAAUAGUUUUAUCUACUUACACCUUUUUUUACAUACUUAAAUAAAAUAAAGGGAUAAAUUUAAGGCUUAAGUGCUACAAUGCCCCCUAGAACAUUGAUCAAUUCUCACUAAACCCCCUUAAAUUUAAAGUGACCCACUUUGCCCCAUUGACUGAUGUUUUGUGUCUCACUUUGCUCCUCACCGUCAAGUUUGUUAAAAAUGCUAACGUGGCACCAAUGGAACCCACUAUUUUGCUAAACUAAAUACCAUGUGUGAAAAAAAAUAUUAAAAAUUCCAAGUGUGAGCUCCAAAUCAUCCAAUCCGACGUCAUGAAUCUUCUCUCUAAUCCACGGCUUUACCUCUGGGAUCUCACUGUCAGGCAAGUUUUGGUGAGUAACAACAGGCUUCGUAAGAUUGAAAGUGGGAGAGGCUGGCAUUGUUGACAGAGAAGGAGCAAAUCUCUAGAAGCAAAUCCAUUGCCCAUAAUCAACAGUGGAAGUAUCAGACUCAUCACAUUCGGGAAUGGUAGCAGCUGGAAAAUGGAGUUGGCGACGGGUAGUGGCGGAUCCAGGAUUCAAAAGUCAUGUAGGUGAAACUUACGUUAAAAACUCGAAUGUAUGAGUGAAUUUUAUUCAUAAAAAUAAAAAGAUACACCUAGUCAGGGGGAUGUAAUGAACCUUAUCCUCAAAUAUGCAUAUCUAUACAUAAAUAAAAGCUUAACCAAAAAAAAAAAAAAAAGAAAUAAAUGCAAUGCAACACAAAAACUAAACGAUUUUAAUCUAAAACUGUACCUUACGAGGCUCAGAAAUCUUAAAUUCCUCAAUUAUCUCUUCAUUAUCGAUAUUAUUAACAAACUCUCUUUCAAUGUGGAGAAUCAUGCAAUCAGCAAGGAAUUCAUCAACUAUGGUGCUCCGAAGUCUAUUCUUAAUAAUUCUCAUACAUGAAAAAGAUCGUUCCGUUGUUGCUGUAGAAACAGGAAGAGUCAACACCAACUGAAUCAACCUAUAAAGCAAAUGGUAGUUUUCUGCCAAAGUUGUUUCCACCAAUUGUUGACAUAACUGAGGAAGAGUGGUAAGAUCCUUAAAGCAGGGAAGGCGAUGCAUAUCAUUUUGAAAAUACCUAAACUCAAUUUCCAAAGCUUUUAAGUCACUUGGACUGAAAUCAGCAUGAUAGAAUUUCUCAGCAAGUUUACAUAGAUGCCCAAUAUUGAAUGAUUUGAAGGAAUUACGAGGAUCCAAUGCUGAGCUAAGAAUAAGAAGUUCAACUGUUUGCUCUGGAAAUCUGUCAUUUAACUCCCUCAACAUGCAAUCUAUCACAUCAUUAAAUACAUCAUUGCGAUAGUAAUGUUCAACUGUAAUAAAAUCUUUUUGUUGACAAGAACGACGUGUGCCCAUCAUAUAACGAGAACUCAUAUCAGGAACAUCAAUACCAUGUUGUUCACAAAAUGAUACCACAUUCAUGAAUAAAUCAUCCCAGCCAUGUGCCCUCAUAUCUUGGAACUGUGGUUUUGUGUUUUCAACAAAGUUUAAAGCACUUACAAUAUCUUGAGUUUUUUCUGAAACACUUGACAGAGAAAGUUGGUCAAUCCCAUAAUUUUAUCCAUCAAAAGCAAUGCAAACACAAACUCAAAAGACAUCAUAGCAAUAUAGUUACUCUCUGCAUCACCAUGAAAUUGUUGGUUAGGUCCAUGUUCACUGAUUUCUUGAAGAAGUAUUUUAGUCUCUUUAAAUAAACUCAUUAAACUUGUAAUAGAGGCAAAGUGAGAUCCCCAAUGAGUGGCUCCAGCUCGUUUCAAACUAGGACCUUGAUUUAGUCCUCUACCUGUCUCAAGUUCCCCAGAAUCCAACAACUCUUUGAGUUCCGCUUUUCAAAUUAAAUUUAACUCAUUACGGCGCUUAGCAGAAGCACUAACAAAAUUCACAAUGUUAGUCAACAUUGAAAAAAAUCUCCAUACAACCUUCACAUCUUUAGCUGCACCAUUUAAUGCUAAUUGCAAGCGAUGAGCAAAACGAUGUACAUAAUAUGCAUAUGGACAAUCUUGAAGAAACAAUGCUUGUAAUCCAUUCCAUGAACCACGCAUAUUAUUAGCACAAUCAUACCCUUGGCCACACAUGUUUUUCACUAGAAUGCCGUUAUGAUCAAGCACUUUGCAUAUAUCUUGUUUAAGAGUCAAGGCAUUAGUGUCUACGACACUCACAAUAUCGAAAAAGCCUUCACGAAUAAAUCCAUCACAAUCAACAAAUCUUAGAAUAAUAGCCAUUUCUUCCUUACCUGAUUCAUCAAGUGAUUCAUCAACAAGAAUACAAUAUUUGUUCUUCCCAAGUUUGGUACAAAUUUUCUUCUUCACCUUGGUAGCAAAAAUAUGCAAGAUCUGUUUUUGUAUAUCAUGGGCAAUAUACUGAGCAUUAUGAGGAGCCUUAUCUAGAAUAACUUUCUCAACUUCUAUAUUCAUUCUUGCAAAUGACUUUAAGAUUUCAAUGAAAUUGCCUCGGUUAGAUGAGUCAACUGAUUCAUCGUGACCUCAAAAAGCCAAUGCUUAAUUUGCUAGAUACCGAAUGCCCUCUAUUGUGGUUGUAAGUCGCAACCGAUUGUCCAUCACUUGUUGCUUUGAUUGCUUAUCUACCACAUUUUCAAUAUGAAGAGAUGGAUUUUCUAAGCUAACCCACUUUUGCAUAGCAAGAUGAUGUGGAGAAUUUAGCUUGCCUACAUGACUUUGAAAUACACAUUGAUUACCACCAAUUCUCUUCCAAUUUUGAAAUCCAUGAAUAGUAAAGGUUGAAUGUGAAUGAUUCAUGUCAAAUAGGAAGCAAGGAAAACAAAAUGCCAAAUCUUUAGCAAUUGAAUACUCAAGCCAAGGGAAUUUACCAAACCACAAUUUAUUAAAUCAAUGUAAGUCUCACCCUUCUAAAUGGCUUGGAUAGUCUUCUAACUCCGGUUGACAAGGUCCUAAAAUAAUAUAGGCUUUUCGCACAUUAUCUUGUUUAUUCACCGAAUAUUGGCAUAUUUGACGACAUAAUCCCGGAUCAUGCUUAAGAUAAUUGAUAUUAAAAUCUUGACCACUAUCAACUUUUUGGGUCUCAACUCUUUCAACUUGAGGCUCGACAAUGGGAGAAGAGAGAAGAUUUGGCUCAUCACAAAUGGGAGGCAUUCUAGAAGAUGAUGACCCAUAAUUCUUUUUCUUAAAAAAAGAGAACAAAUUCUUUGUUUUCUUGGGGUUUCGAUUGUGAUCCGACAUAAUAAAAGAUAACCUAUUUAAUCAAACAUCCCAACAAAAAAUCAAACAAUUUCUCAUAAUAGCAUCAAUGAAUUUAAUCAAACAUUAACAUACCAACAACAAAUCAAACAUCUCAACAAUGCCAACAUCAAAUCAAACAUCUCAACAAAAUUCUUAAAAUCAAAGACCUAAUUAAUUUCAACAAAAUUCCCAAAUUAUAUUUAAUUCCUAAUUAAACCCUAGAAAACUCAAGGGAGCUUCACUAAUAUACCCAAAAUAGGGGCUGAAAUUAUAAAAAAAACCCCACAUGGAUUGCACUUUAGAAACACACCCAAAACUCAUUUACUACAUAAAAAAUUAGUGUUUAAGUUCUUAUAAAUUACAUGACUGCCAUUGAUCAAUUUAAAAAAGAAGACCAACACAAAAAACUUAAAUAGCACCCAAAACAAGCCCAACCCAAUUUUAUAAAAAAACCCAAACAAUUCAUUACAAACAAAAGGUCUUGAAAACCGUAGUUUCAUUAACGUGUCAUGUUAAUUAAUCAUUGUAAUGUUCUACACCUUUAUUGUCAUGUUGAUUAAUUGUUGUAAUGUUCCAGUUUAGGGUAAUAACACUGCUAUGUCAUGUUGAUUAAUGGUUAUAAUGUUCCAGUGUAGAGUAAUAACACUGCUAAUUUCCUAUAACAUCCUAUUUCUAAUGCAUGUUUACCCCUGUACUGUUCCAGUGUAGGGUAAUAACACUGCUAGUUUCCUAUGAUAUCCUAUUUCUAAUGCAUGUCUACCCAUGUAAUGUUUCAGUCUAAGGUAAUAACAUUGCUAGUUUAUUGUCAUGUUGAUUAAUGGCUGAUGUUCCAAUCUAGGGUAAUAAUAUUGCUAGUUUAUUGUCAUGCUGAUUAAUGGUUGUAAUGUUCUAGUUUAGGGUAAUAACAAUACUAGUUUCAUAUGACAUCCUAUCUCUAAUGCAUGUUUACUCUUGUAAUGUUCCAGUCUAGGGUAAUAACACUGCUCGUUUCCUAUGAUAUUCUAUUUCUAAUGCAUAUCUACCCCUAUAAUGUUCUAGUCUAGGGUAAUAGCACUGCUAUUUCCUAUGACAUCCUAUUUCUAAUGCAUGUUUACCCCUGUAAUGUUCUAGUCUAGGGUAAUAACACUGCUAGUUUACUGUCAUGUUGAUUAAUGUUUAUCAUGUUGCUAUUUCUAAUACAUGUCCACCAAAGAAAAGAUGAAGAAAGAACAAACCAGACCAACUCAAAACAAGCUGAGCCCAGAUUGUUAAUACUAUUAUGUCAUAGAAGUAUAUUGUUAAUACUCUGUCAUAGAAGUACAUUGUUAAUACCCUAUCACAGAAGUACAUUGUUAAACAAAAAUGAGAUUCAUAACUGAAAUAGUAACAAAAGUUGAAUCGAUCAUCAAAGCUUCAAAUACAUUUCGAAAAUCAACUAAAAUCCGAAGAGAAACACAUAAUUGAAGCAAAAGAUCAAAAAUCUCAAGUACAAACCAAACGACGACGACGGCGGCGACGACAAUAACAACGACAAUGAUGUGGCGAAAGAGGAGUAGAGCUCGAAGAUGAGGAGUAGAGCUAAAAGCAUCUGAUCGAGGUUUUUUCAAGGUCUUGAACAAUCCGAAAAAAAGAAAAAAUCAAUAGAAGCACGAUUUUAGAACAAGAAAUUGAAGGUGAAAUAUUGAAAAUUGUAGAUUAAAGAUGAAUAAUAUAGUUGGACCUGAGACUGAGCUUCAAUGGAAGCUCCUCUUGCUCCAACACCAGAGAAAACACCAGCGAGAAAGGAGAAAAUAAAUAUGAUUUGAUUUUUUGGCAGAUUUGGUUUUUUUGGCAGAUUUGGUUUUUUGGCAGACAUGGAAAUAUUUGGUUUUAUGGCAGAUCUGGGCAGAUCUGAUUUUCCUCUCUUAAAUCCAUAGUACAAGGACAAUAUAGGUAUUUAACACACACAAAUAAACUAAAAAACAACUAUUAAAUUAAAAAAAAUUGAUAGCUGUCAAUUUUUGGAUUUUUUUUGGGUGUGUUUAUAGUUUUUAAACGGUGUAGGGUUUCUUUAUAAAACCAUGUCUAACAUUGGGUAUAUAACUAAAUUUCUAAAAACUCAAUUUCAAAUUAAAAUUAAAACUAAGAUGCAUACAUUUAUUUUAGGAAUAACCCAAUAGAAGAAGAUAAUUAAAGAGAAGAGAUUAAGAAGAAUACUUGUUUCCUUGUAUAUGAGAAGAGAAGGGGCUGUCCACGAUUGCACAACUUGACUAUUGCACAACCAAGACUAUUGAGUUGAGAAGAAGCUACCGACUCUGUGUGGAAUUGCACAGCCACUAUUUGGUUGCUUAUAAGUUAUAUUCCCCCUUUUAUUAAAGUAUGAUUGGGCCAUUCCAUAACAUGGGCUGGUUAUAAUUUUUUUUUUUUUUUAAAAGUUUGAGUGGGCUUUAACACAUGUGGUGUGGGUUUUACAUGGGCUGGUUAGGCAAGGGUUUAUACCAUCACAUGUAGGGCUCGUUUGGUACACCGUAUUAGACUCUGGAUAGGAGUAAAUAGUCUAUGUCAUGUGUUUAGUGUCAACUUGUAUUAUUUAAUUAGCCGACUAUUUUAUACAGGUUAGGCUUUUAAUACUCUCCUUACCUGACUAACUAAUACAACCCACACACUCCGGUUUAGAUAAUACACGCUUAAUUAUACUGCUAGGGAAAAAGAACACGCCUUCUACGAAAAAAAUCAGACGCUCUUUUCAUCUUCUUCUCCCUAGGGUUGUUCUCUGCUAUCUUCUCCACAGGUUAUUUUCUUCACUCUUCUCCAGGUAUCCAUCUCUCACUCUCUCUCUUUUUCAUACUCUCUCCAAUAUGCUUUAUAUAUUUCAAAUUUUUAGUGGAAAUUAGGUUAUGAAUUUUUCUUUUUUGGCUUUUUUUUUAAUCGAAUGUUUUCUUUGUAUGUGAUAUAGUAAUUCGACAUUGUGGGAAUAUUUAGAUUGUUGGUAUUAAACAGAGUAUUGCCAGUUUUCGUCCAAAAACAAACAACUGUGCUAGUGUUGGUAGUUUAGUUGAAUACAUACAUACCUGACGACUAGGAGAGCAAAAUUACAAAAUUAAAAUUGUAUGAACCUGAAUUCUAAGAACCAUUUUUUUUCUUUGUCAAUUGCUAUUAGAAAAGCAAAGAUGGACUUGUCUAUUAAUGACCAAAUUAAGGCACUACAGCUAAUUUUGGAGAAAGCAAGUGAUGAAAAAAUAUUCCUGACAUUGGAUGGUGCUAUGAGAAAAGCAUUUGUUCUUCUCUUACUUGGGGCGAGGGAGUUGUGAUUCACUCUUUGAUGUAGUUUGGUUUAUGAACAAUUUUCUCUUUUGCUCUUAUCACCUUAAUAUGUGAUCACUUUGAAUUAUACAUUAUUUGGUACUGUUUUUAUUAACGUAUGCGAGUAUGUUGGUAUUUUUAUGAGAUACUACAAUUAUGAUAAUGGGUUAUAUGAAAAAAAAUCUUGGCAAAAACAAUUGAAAAACAAAUCUUGUCAUAUGAAUCUUACCCAAAAAAAAUUUGUGUCAUUUGAAUCUCAAUUUCCAUUAAAAUUAUCAAAGAUUUUUUAUUUAUUAUUAUUUAUAAAUAGUCUGAUAUGAGGUUAUCCGAAACAUCACCAAACAUAGUACAACUUAGUCAGAUUAUUUAUCCGGAACAACACCAAACGCCUUAUAAUAUUAUCGAUAAAUAGUCAGUACUCUCCGGAACAGAUUAAUACUAUCCGACAGAAAUUAGUCAGUACAGUCCGACGUACCAAACGAACCCAUAAUGGGUAGCAAUUACUUUGCUUAUAUAUAUAUAUAUAUAUAUAUAUAUUGAUGAAAUUUUUUUAGUUAGGCAGCUGCCUACCUCCUGGCUGUAGGACCACCACUGGUUGUCGCAGUGCUUGGGCAAAUUGAAGUUGCCCUGAGCUCGGAGCCCUGUGAAUAUCUUAGCAGCUAUGGCUCUCCUCCUCUUCUCUCUCCUCCGGUUGUUCUCUCUCUCCCUUCAGGACAACUUACUUCGCUUCACUGUCGCCGCAGACGUGGCUCCAUCCGACGUCAUUCCCUGAUCAAUUAUCUUCCCUCUCUUUUCUCUCUCAGUAUCAGGUGCUGUGCAAUUAAGUUUUUUAAAGUAUUAUUAAUUUUUUAAUAAUUAAAUUAAGUUGUUUAAAAGGCAAUUUUUAAUUUUUAAUUAUUUUUUUUUCACACAUGGCAUUUAGUUUAACAAAAUAGUGGGUCCCAUUGGUGCCACAUCAGCAUUUUUAUAGGAAUUUUUAACGGACUUGACAGUGAGGGGGCAAAGUGAGACAUAAAAUAUCGGUUAAGGGGGCAAAGUGAGUCACUUUAACUUUAAGGGGGUUUUAGUGAAAAUUGACCAAUGUUUCAAGGGGCACUGUAGCAAUUAAGCCUAAAUUUAAUAACACUAAAAUUUGUACCAUUGCAAUAUUCUCAAAGAGAUAUUUAAAAAGAGACCAAUAUUGAAAAAAAAAAUUUCUAUUGCAUUGAACUAUUGAACAACCAUUGCAGAUGCUCUUAACAACAUAAUGCAUUAAUUAUUGUAUUUUUUUCCUUUUUUUAUUGACAUGUGGGUCCAAUGGUUAGCCUAUUGCAAUCGCAAUAGAUGGUUCAUCACAUUACCCUUUCUUGCAAUUGCAUCUAUUACAAUGAACUAAAUCACACCAUUGCAAAUGAAAUUUUAGUGUUUUAGUUCAAUUUCAUACAAUAAAAUUGCAUUGAUUCUAACCAUUGCAGAUGCUCUAACAGGCAAUUCCUCUUUUAACGCCACUAACCUAGCCAAAUUCUCAUUACUUUAUAUCAAAAUAGUGAGCCCAAGCCAUCAAUUAGCCCAAUUCUUUUAUUAAUUUGCAUGGAUUGAAAAUAGGCCCAAAACACAGGGAUGUAACUGAAGCAAUUAAGAUUCUUGUACAAAAACUCAAAAUCAUAAGAGCAUGCUCUCAUGUUCGCAUGGUGUCCGAGUUUCUCCUCUUCUACUGCUGCACGUAAGAUACAGUGCAUACUUUAAAUUUCUUUUCAAAGGUCUAAUGGCUUACCCUCGCCUGUUACAGGUGAGGGUACAAUUCACCUCACUCCUUCCUUAUCAUCAUCCCGUGAGCUCUUGGUUCUCAAUAUUCACUGUAACUUGUUAUAUUUUGGUCAUUUAUUUGAUACACUUAAUGUGUUUGCUAUUUUCUAUUCUACUCAUUGUAUUUUCCAAGAUCUUAAGACUCACAAGACAAUUGGACAUGGUAAACGGAGAGGGGGGUUAUACUACUUGACUUUACCGAUUACAAUAGUUCGUGAUUGUGUUGCUAAUAAAGUUCAGAGUGGCAGUGUCAAAGACAAACAACAAAUUUGGCUGUGGCGUAGUCGCUUAGGAGACUCGUUAUUUGGUUAUCUUAAGCAUUUGUUUCCGUCAUUAUUUUGUUCUUGUAAUGAGUCUACCUUUCAAUGUGAGACUUGUGUAUUGGCCAAGAGCCAUUGUAUUGUUUUUCCUUUAAGUAAUAAUAAAGUUGCCAAGCCUUUUGAUUUAGAACAUUUUGAUGUAUGGGGUCCGGCUCAUGUUACUUUGAACGGAUUUCGUUGGUUCGUCACAUUUAUUGAUGAUUUUAUCUGAUUCACUUGGGUUUUCAUGCUCAAAAAUAAAAAUGAUGUUGCUUUCAUCCUUCCUGAAUUUUGUAAUAUGUUAUCUAUUCAGUUUCAGGCUCGGGUCCAAGUAUUCUGGACUGAUUAACGAGGGGUAAAUAUGUGAAUAAUACUUUGGCAUAUUUCUUUCGUGCUCACAGUAUCAUUCAUCAAACAACCACCCCUUUUACUAGGCCUCAUCAUUUGGCCCGCGGGCUCAUGGGCCGAUGGGGGCCCGCCCGGCCCACGGAAAAAAAGCCCGGCCUGGCCCGUUAUGGGCCGACACGGCCCACCCACAAAAGCCUUACCCGUUAGGCCCGCAUACGUAUAUAAUUAUAUAUAAAUAAGAGUUUAGGAUUAGGAUUAUGUCACUUAAAUCACAUAUAUAAUUUGUUUCAUUUCAUUUACUUUUCUUUACUCAUUCCUAGUUUAUAAUUGGAUGAUUAGCACGUUAAUUUGUGUCAAUUAUUAAUACAACAAUUAUAUAUAAAAAUAAGAUGAACAACAUAUCAUAUCACCAAAUAUAAUCAUAUCACGAAACAUAAUCGUACCACCAAAUAUAAUCAUGCUUUUCUUGAACACAUCACCAAACAUUUGCAUAUUUAUUCAUGCCAUCCUUUAAAAAUUAUCUUUAUGAUACUUAUUAUUUUUUAAAAUUAUUUCUUAAAACGUAUUACAGUCUAAUUAUGUAAUAACCUCAAAAAUAAUACUUGGUUUUAUUAUUUUUAUAGAAAAUCUUAUUAAGUUGUGUGACUUUAUUAGGUGUUUUAUGAAUUUGGUUUGAUGUGAAAAUAUUGGAAUUAAGUGAGUUUAAUCUCAAAUUUGGACUAAAAUGCCCUUAUGAUUAAGUUUAUGAUUUUUUUCGAAUGAAGUAGGCCCGUUUCGGCCUGGCCCUUUGGGCUUAGCCCGGCUCGACCCGAUGGGUUUUCUCAAGCCUGGCUCAUGGGUCAUGCUUGGGCUUUGAAUUUUUUUAAAAACCCGGCCCAGCUCGGCUCGAUAUUUUCUCUCUCCUCUUUAAAGCCUGGCCCGGCCCGGCCUAAGCCCAUUAAAUUUGGGUCAGACUAGCCCGACCCGGCCCAUUGACGAGCUUUACCUUAGACCCCUCAACAAAAUGGUGUGUCCGAAAGGAAGAACUGACAAUUGCUUGAAGUUGCUCGCUCACUUAUUUUGGAUAUGUCUAUUCCCCAUUAUGUUUGGGGACAUACUGUUAUGUCUGCUGCUUAUUUGAUCAACCGUACUACUAGUCGUGUUCAUGACUUUGACACUCUUGUUCAUGUGCUUGGUGACCAUGUGCUUCUUUCUUGUUUUCUGUUUUGUGUAGGGAAUUAAAUUGAAUCAAUCUAUCAUCAAUCUCCGUGGGAUCGACUUCGCACUUACAUAUGUUAUACUACCCAACGGUUCAUGCACUUGUGAGUAUCACAAGUUGAGAAUGCAGCUGAAUCAAUUUUGGCACAGCUGAAUCGACACAAGAAGUUUUUGGUGACGGGGAUCAAACCCGGGUCACCCACAUGACAUGCGGGAAUAUUUACCACUAUACUACAACGACUGGUUCUGUUGCCGGGACUUGAACCCGAGUCUUUCGGUUGACAGCCGAAUAUCCUGAAAGCCAAACUUUACAAUGUAAAACAAUGUUACCAAGAGGUGUGGUAACAAGUAGAAAAAGAGGCACACACAAAUGAUGCUACAAAUAGCCCAAAACGAAUUCUUUGAACCAGGCUUGGAGUGGGAAGGCCUGAGAUCUCAAUAUUGAUCUAAUAGGGCCCAAAUUUGGAUAUGUUGUAAUAGACACCUAUUGGAACAACUUUCAUGAAGAAUGUAUUCCUAUCCGAGCACAGCAACAUGCUGAUCCAAAGCCAAGAAUUUGACCUACGAAAUGAGAAAAAACAAUUUAUAUUCAAUAAUGAACUUUUAGCUCACAUUUAUUCCAACCAAGGUAAAAUUCUAUAAUAAAAAAAACACAAAAAGAAAGUAAAAGACUAUAAACUGUCAAUAACUAACAAAAAAUAUCGGUGAAUCACAUGAUAAAUCAUGUACAAAAAUGAACCCAACAAACUUCCCAAACUUAUCUUUUUUCUAGUCCUUGAGCAAAACAAAAGGAAAAUAAAGAGAAAAACAAGAAGUUAACUAGACCACUUUCGCAGGUAACUCGAUUGCAUUGAGCGUAUACAACAAGCAUUUAAACCUCUAGGCAUCCCUAAUAGGAGGAGUUGUGUCGCUUAAGGAUUUAACAGAUACAAUACCCACAAACGUUUUACUGACUCUUCAAAACAAAGUGGUUAGAAAACUAAUUAAAUUAUGUUAGUCCUUGAGCCAAAAAAAAAAAAAAAAAAAAACUCAAAAUAAUCUUUCUGAACAUUUUCAGAAGAGAAACGACUCAUGCACAUGACUCAAAAGUUUUAACAAUAAAAGUGUAGUAGUGUGAUAGCCAAAUGCAACUUAUUCCCGAAUUUCAAUUUUCACAUGAUUUCAAAAAUCAUACAAAGCACAAAUGCAACUUCAAAUCUCACCAAAAUUAUCUUCUCACCAAUGAAUCACUCAGAAAAGGGAAUGCAUCACUCAGUUAUAAACAUGAGAUUAGAGUUAAACCAUAAGGGACUUAACUCGCAAGAAAGAUGAAGAACUUGCAUUAAUAUGAUCUCAAGAAGGAUGUCAAACACUUAAAAGUAGGUGCAAUUCAACCAUUUGACCUUUAGGAUCAAUUUAGGACUUUAACAUAGGUUGAAAUGGGGCCAAGGUGUAAGGUGAGUGAGAAAUGAAAGGUAUGGAUAAUACAAAGCCCAAGGAACUCACAAUGUAAGAGCAUAAAACAAUGGUUUCCAAGACUUCGAAUCAUAAUGAUUAGAAUUUUUUUUUUAUAUGAUCAAUUAGAUCAUAAUUCCUUAUACCUCCAUUUAUAUUGAUUCACACUCAUUUCUUUUAAAUCAACUGAUUUUUAAAAGCACAACUUUUCUCUUUUCCUUCACCAAUUGGGUGAAUUUCUUUGUUUCUUUAUUUUUUUUUUAUUUUUUUUUUUAUAAAUGUAACACCCCUUCCCAAACUUAGCAUGAAAAACACAUCACAAUUAAAGCUCAUGAGUUCCCUGGAAAGGUAAAUACUUGUUUUUCAUACUAAGGCGAGAAAAAAUAACUGAUUAAAUGAAAGAAAAGGUUUACGUGUAAGCUCAAAAUGGUUAACAAUGGAAAAUCAUACUUAAGCAUGCAUAAGGUUAGCUUGGAAGGCACAAACGAUUCAAAGAGCGCCUUAAUAUCAUGUAAUCAAAUUGCAUAAGAAUGAAUGAUUUUUAAGUGCUCAACCAAAUCAACGAAUAAUGAGAUCAAACAAUUUUGAUGACAAGAAAAUAAGAAUAUGUGUAAAAACACUCAUGAAUUGCAGCACAAGCAGUGGCGGUUGUACACAGGGGGCAGGCUGGGCUGCUGCCCGGCCCAAAAUUUUCCAUAAAAACAAAUAGGUAAAUGUGUUAUCCAAGCCAAAAAAAAAAAAGAACAACUCUGUCUCUAACUAGUUGCCCAACCAGCCAUGGCCUACACUUACCAAUUGGUGGCUGGGCAAGAAUACCCACCACUUGCUCGAUGAAAUACCUCAGUGAAGAAGGCAUAGCAACACCUUCCUUGCGAUGAGUUUUCUGAUUUGCAGAGGCAGCACUAUGUGCCUGGCAAAGAAGACCAUGUCUCGGUGCCCUUAUAAACGAAACACACCGUUUUGUGAUUAGCCUCCUUUAGUGAAACGGUGGUUUAGUGUUCAACACUUGGCUGCCUCUUUUCAUUGUCGAUGGGUUUAGUGGGCUAGUUUUCGUUUUAUCGGUUUUAUGAGGUUUGGCUUCAUAAUAAUGGGUGAAUUAUUUAAAAACUUUAUCCUAUGGGCCAAUAUAAUAUAAUAGAAGAUUAUUUAACAAACAAAAAAACUAUUUUAACAGUAAAUAUAAUAAAUAUAUAGAAAUAUAUAUAUAUAUAUAUAUUUAACUAAUGUGUUAAUUCGAUAAUGCAAUGAUAAUUGAGAAAUUUAAGACUUCUUGUAUGGUAAAAUUUCAAAUUUAAAUAGUGUUAAUAUGUAUUGUAUUGCAUUGUAUUUACUUGUGAUUUUUAUUUUUAUUUUUAAAGCUUUUAUUUAUGUAUACAGAUGCAUUUGAAGUAAGGCUCAUUACAUUCCCAUGAGUAGAUGUAUCUUUUAGGGUUUAUUACUGAAUUCACUCGUAAUCUCAAGUUUAAUAUGUAAGUUUUGCCUAGCCAGUUUUCAAAUCUUGAAUCCGUCACUGAGCACAAGGCUCAAAAGCUCACAUUAUAUGGUUAUACAAGUUUAAUUUAUGCUUGAUAUACAAUUCCUUGGAUCAUGCAAGUCCUUUAAUUGGAAAAUUAUGAAGCAAAUGGCAAGUGCAUAGAAGGUUUCAAACAUAUUAUGCUAGAAUGAUGCCAUUAAGUGACAGUUUUUUAUUUUUAAAUUUUUUUUUAAAAAUCAAAAAUCAAAUUUUCAUUCAAGUCAUGCAAACAUUUAUCACAAUCUCAUCAUAUGUGUUCGGAAAGUGACUUAAAAAUGGGAAAAAAAGACUCAAAUAAAACAGAAAAAAAAAAAGAAGAAGCAAAAUACAAAAUACAAAAAAAUAAGAAAAACCAAAUUUACUUACUAAACUACCUUCCAAAGUUUAGAAAUGAACAUUGUCCUUAAUGUUUAAAAGUUAGGCACAAACAAUGUCAUAGCAACAAAUGAAAGGUACUAAAACAAAUAAAUAUCACAAAAUACAAUAAAUAAAAUACAAUAAAGUUUCAAAAAUAAAAUUAAAAAUUACCAAAAAAAAAAAAAAAAGAUCAAACGGUUAUGCAAAUUGAAACCCAAACCAUUUUGAAACCCAAUCCACUUUGAAGCCCAAACCACAGUGAAAUCCGAAGCCCACACAUUUUUUUUGAAAUUUUUUUUCUUUUAUUGUAAAUUACCAAAUUUAAAUUUUUUUUUUUAAGACGAAGCGUGAUUGGGAACGUGGGUCCCAACAUCUCAUCUCUUGGUAAGUCAUGCGCAAACAAAGCACGAGAGGCGUGUCAACACACAGAGGUGCCGCAGAUCCCUACCGAAAAUUACAAAUUUGCUGAACGCCUUCUUUCAGAAAGGUCACGUCGCGACAAAUUAUUGGGGGAUGGGUAGAAAGCCAAAAGGCUGUGGAGCUCGAGGAACAGGGGAAAAGUCAGAAAUAUGUAGAAUGGUGUUGUGGCUAGGGUUCGUCAAAAUGGACAUCUAGAAAAGGAAACGAGGGAAAAAUAAAAAAAUUCAUAACCACGCAGAAGAGAGAAAGAAAAGAAUAAAAGAGAGAUGGGAGAAAGAAAGAAAUAGAAAGCCGAAAUAAAAUGUCGUCUUCCUUCCCAUGUUCUCUAAAUCUCAACCUACCUCCGCCAACACAUACAUGGGGGUAAGGAGAAGCACCUGUGUGGAUGCCCUACUUUUCUCUCUAGAUCUCAACCUACCUCUGCCAACACAGACAUGGGGGCAAGAAGCGGCACCUGUGUGGGUGCCCUACUUUGCUUCCUCACGAGGACCAGUUACUGUAAACGACUCUUUAAUUACAUAUUGACAACGAUGUUUCGAUUGGAGUUACGAGGAGUUUGGUGAGUCCCAAGGAUUUGUGCGUGCUAGGAACAAGGGAUGACAACUGGGUAGGAGCGAUGCCUUGACAUUGAGCGUGCAAAGUGUGGCAUCUGUUGCAAGUGUGGGGCAUCGCCUCAUUGUGAAAUCCUAUGAGGUGCUGGUGCUAAAAGCUCAGUUGGUGGUAAAGCAGAAUUUGGUUGAAGAUUAUCAGAGUGUUAUAAGGAGAUUGAAAAGGUAUAGGGCAAAGUCGUUGGAAGAGACACGACACCAACUUGAAAUAUUGCAUGACGAGAAUAAAAAGCAAUCAAAGAUGGUAGAUUCUUACUCUAAAGACAUGCAAAGUAGCAGGAGGCCCUAGAGUGAACGGGUAAAUGCAAGCACGGAGAUCACGAAACAAGUUUUGCUCAAACUAAGAGAGUGAUCUUUAGGAGCUUAAGUGAUGAGCCCCAAGAAGCAGUGUGUGAAACCUGAGAGAUGAGAUCCAAAGGGCCAAACAAAUGUCUCCUAUUGUGGAAUCGGGAAGCACUCCAUGAUAUUUGAUAAGACCCGACUCGAAUUCUAUCUUGGAAUCCGUGAUGAACCCUGUGGUUUUUUCGACAUCUAACCAAUGCCGGGCCCACUUACUAAAAUAGUCCCCUUCUUUGCUACCAAGGAAAAAAGGGCUGAGACUUCUAUCGAAAUUUCGAUAAAGUCACACUUGAAAAAAAGAAGAAAAAAAGAAGAAGGUAUUUUUGCAAAUUUUCCACUUGCGAAAAACAACAGAAAAAAGUUCUCAACUACCAGCACACACAAUGCUAAAGGCGCACAGAUUAUAGAAUAGGCCUUCGGCCUUAAAUUCAACCCUACAUGGUCAAUAAUACAACAAAUCUAAGAAAUCUUUAGUUUUACAACCAAAGCAUAAGUUCCAAAGGAAAUUAAACAAGUAAAAGUUCCCUACAACAGUUUGAGGCAUGAGAGUAAGAAGUCUUGGCUCGGUUGCACGGAUCAAGUCAAGCUACUGCCUUAGGGCGCAAAACAGAAAUUGUGAGUGGACAAAAAUAAAGUUUUAACAUACUUUUAAACAAACAUACUAACCCCACCGUUUUGGAAAACGAUGCCAAAACAUGCAGAAAAACCAUUUAUAUAACAUAAUUGACUUUUAAAACCAAGGUAUCCCAUAAUCCCGAUGUAGCAUAUAACACAAACUCAAACUAGACUUUUUUCCCUUCCUAGACCACUCUCUUCUAAGACACAUGCCUUUAAGCACAACAAAGCGAGGAAGGAUCCUCACAAAUAAAUAAGAGAAUAUAUAUAUGUAGGUAUAACCACUACACCAAUACUAGUACAUGGGAAACAAUCCAACACGAGGAUUGUUUGACUAGACCACAUGUAGAAAUCCUCAAUACACAUUUGGCUAGGGAAGAGCAGUCCAACAGGGACUAUUGCUCACCACACAUGCACAGCAGAAUCCUCAAUACUCUGUCUAACACACGUUGACUGCCCCACAAGGGCCUACGAUAACACCCUGUCAAGGGUGCCCGGGUUCCAACAUAUCCAAGUAUCCAUCGUUUCCAAGUAUCCAAGUACCAGGGAGGUACAUAGGGUGGUGCUAAUAGCACUCCAAUAUAACAUAUUCCACAUCCCAACAUAUAUAUCAUAACCAUAUCCCAAAUUCCAAAUAUUCCAAAGUACCCAAUCCCAUAUACAUAGACAGACAUUAAUAGAGUCCAUAACUCAAUACCCAAAUAUUUAAUCGUAGUAUAGAUAUCAGACUCUCAAAAGCAUAUAUUCCAUAACCGAAAAUAUUCACAAACUUCAAAUAUCAAUAUAACAUCUGAUAACCAUUAGAUAUUAGGGAAAUAGCCCUAAAUGACACCCAUUUCAUAAUUUUAAUUAAAAAUACCAUCCCUUCCCAAUUUUUGUACAACUAUCACCUAUAAAUAUAAAAUUAUUGUCCACUUUCUCUUUGGUUCACAAGUUCAGAAAUUUUGGAGAGAAGAAGCUCACACAGCUCUCUCUCUCUCUCUCUCUCUCUCUCUGUGGCACAGCUCUCUUUCUCUUUGGUAUCUGUCUAUCACAGCUCUCUGUGUCUCUCUUGGGCUCUCUCUAUCUUGGUCUCUCUAUCUUGGCUCUCUCGCUCUUGGCUCUCUCGCUCUUGGCUCUCUCUCUCUUGGCUCUCUCUCUCUCUCUCUCUAGGCUCUCUCUCUCUCUCUCUAGCACAACUCUCUGUCUCUCUCUUUGCUCUGUUUCUCAUAGCGCAGCUGUCUCUCUCUAUCUUCGUUAUGUCCCUUUCUCCCCUAUUCGAUCUCUUGCUCUCUGUUUGGAAUCGCGAACCCCUCCCUUUAGCUAUGUCUUCUGAAUAGCUGCUUGCAACCUUGAAGCUCUAGUGGAUUGCCGACCUCGAAAAGGUAGUGUUGAUGGUUAUUUUCUUAAUAUCAGUAUUAUGUGAAAUGGGUUAUAGUUUGAUUGUUUGGGUUUGUGUUAAAUUCGUUUUGGCUUUAAUUUAUUUGGGUUAGGUUUUGUUGAAUAUUCAUGCUCAUUCAUCUGGGUUUGUACCAAUUGCAUUUAGAUUGGUCUGGAUAUGUGAAUCUUGAAACUUGGGAUUUUCUAUUUGAUGUAGUAGAUCUGUAUAGUGUGAUUCUGUUGUGUUCCUCUUAUUUUACAGUCGUAUUGCUGUUAUAUUGCCAUUAUAUUGCCUAUAUAUUGCUGUUAUAUUGUGGUUAUAUUGCUAUUGUAUUGUAUGAUUAUUGUGGUUAUAUUGUGUGAAUGAAAUGUUGUUUUGUCAUGGUCAGAAAUGGAGACAAUUGUUAUUCUCGUGUGCUAUAAUGGAAAAUGGGUCACCUCGAAGAAGAUGUGCAAAUACGAAGGGGGUGACUCAAAAGGCUUAAUAGUUCCACGUACCAUCAAAUUUGCUGAACUGUUGGACCGUGUGCAUCAGAUUGGUAAUAAAAACAGCAGGGAAGACAAGGUUUGCUUAAAAUUCUCAGUUUUGGUGGCCUCGAAUGAGUGGAAGCACAUAAAGAUUGAGGAAGAUGAUGAUGUCAAUUUUUUUAUGAAGUACAAUUCCGAGGUAACACCUUCAAAACUAGCUCCCUUACUCGUGAGUAUAGAAGAUAAAGGACUGACAAAUGAUGUAGUUCAUAGUAUGCAUAUCACGAAAGAUAGUAGUCGGAUGGGUCAUUCUUCAGUUGCCAUUGUUGAAAGCAAUGAAGUAACUUGGAAUAAUACAAAUGUCACUGAUUUGGGAGGUGAAGUAGGGACAGAUUUUAUGGAUAUGAUUGAUUUUAGCGAGGUGGAGGAGAUGCAUGGUGGUGAUAAUGGUACUGAAAGAAAUGAAGUGUCAGUGUACUCUGCCCCUCCUAAUUUGGGGUGCUUGAACACAGCUGCCCAGUUGCCAAAAAUGCGUUUAGGAGGAGAAUCUGAACCCACUUGUCAACAUUAUUGGAGUCAAAUGGGUGAACAAAAUCGAUAUAAUACAGUCGGUGUAAAUGAUGAAGAAGCAUAUUUGGACAGCGGGUUUUCACGAAGCGAUUGGAAUCCGAAAAUUACAGUUGGGCAAAUUUUCUCUAGUAAGAAAGCAUUGUUGACGGAGUUACGGUUGACGGCAUUAAGAGGCCACUUUGAAUUUAAGGUGCAAUUCUCUUGCACUAAGAGGUUGCUUGUGGUUUGUUGUCAACGUCCAUGCCCAUGGCGGGUCCGAGCAUCGAGAAUUGGAGAAUACAGCUUCAUGAUUGUGAGGUGUACAACUGUCCAUGAAUGUGAUUUGAGGUUCGUAAGUGACAAGCAUCGUCAAGCAACCGCAGCACUUGUAGCCACUUCACUUAAAAGUAAGUUGAAGGAUUGUCGGACAAUAUACACACCAAGUGACAUUAUGAAAGAUGUGAAACACAACUUUGGUUGCACCAUCCAUUAUUCGAAAGCUUGGAAAGCAAGGGAGUUAGCUCUAUUGUCCAUUAGAGGAUCAGCGGAGGAGGCAUAUUAUAUCCUUCCAGCUUAUUGCUAUGAAUUGGAGCGUAUGAAUCCCGGCACAAAAACACACAUCCGAACUGAUGAGAACAAUCACUUUGUGUAUUUAUUUAUGGCGGUUGGCGCAUGUAUUAGAGGGUUCCGUUCUUCCAUGCGCCCAGUGAUAGCCGUGGAUGCCACUCAUUUAAAAUCCAAGUACAAGGGUGUUAUGUUUGUAGCAAAUGCAUUCGAUGGUAAUCGAAAUAUAUAUCCUCUUGCUUUUGGGAUCGGGGAUUUGGAGACGGAUGCAUCAUGGCAUUGGUUUUUCACUAAACUUCAUGAAGCCAUUGGUGAGUGUCCCAAUCUUGUUAUUAUUUCUGAUCGCAAUGUUAGCAUAGAGAAUGUGUGGAACAAAAUUUUUCCAACUGCACAACAUGGCAUAUGCUUUUAUCAUAUGAAGGGGAACAUGAAACGCACUUGCAAGUUGAAAAAGCGUGAUCACAUACUUAUGCACUUUGAGAAGGCUGCGAAAUCUUAUUCCAUUGCUGAAUUUGAUUGUCAUUUUCGCAAGAUAAAGCGAAAGGAACAUGUUGCUCAAUAUCUUGAAGACGCAGGGUUACAUAAGUGGUCUAGAGCUCACAUGGAUGGACGCCGCUACAAUGUAAUGACAACAAAUAUUGCGGAGUCAAUCAACUCAGUCCUUAGGUUUACAAGAAUGCUGCCAGUGGUUCAUUUGAUAGGGGAAAUUGUUAAUCUCCUUGUGAAAUGGUUCACCGAACGUCGUGAGUUGGCUUUGAAUUGCACAACAACAUUGUGCCCCAAUUUUGGAGAGAAGAAGUUGAGGAACAGGUUGGAGGAUGUGGCAAGGAUGAAUGUGGUUAAAGUUAAUAAUGCACAGUAUAAUGUUUUGGACGGUGAUAUGGACGACCUCGUAGAUUUGAUGAACAACAGUUGUAGUUGUAGAAAGUUUCAGCUUGAGCAGCUACCUUGCAAGCAUGUAGUUGCAGUUUGCCCGCUUCUUGAAAGUAAGUGUAUACGCAAAGGCUUCUCGGUAUUACACUCGGAAAACCUGGAUGGAUGCUUAUUCGGAUAGCAUCUACCCGGUACACCCUCACGAAUGUGGGAUACUCCUGAAGAUGUUCAAAUCCAAGUGUGCUGCCUCCCAUGGCAAGGGUCAUGUCAGGCAGACGAAAGAAGUUAAGAUUUCCCUCGCAAGGAGAGGGCCACCAUUUGCUCCGUUUACCAGACGUCAAAGGCUUCUCGGUAUUACACUCGGAAAACCUGGAUGGAUGCUUAUUCGGAUAGCAUCUACCCGGUACAACCUCACGGAAUGUGGGAUACUCCUGAAGAUGUUCGAAGUCGAGUUGUGCUGCCUCCCAUGGCAAGGGUCAUGUCAGGCAGACGAAAGAAGUUAAGAAUUCCCUCGCAAGGAGAGGGCACCAUUAGAAGAAAAUGCUCAAGGUGCGGUUCCGCAGGGCACAAUAAAAGCACCUGUAAAAACAAUAUUCCAUUGCGCAAUGUAUCUUAGACAAUAUGAUUUGUGUUGCUUUAGUAGGUCAUGUAAACUCUACUUUUAUUUGUGGUGGGUUUCGUGUUAUGUUGAAUGGGAAUUCUUUUAAAUUUGCAUUAUUUGGGUUGCAUUGCUACAGCAUGCUGUAUUGCUGACAGAUUGCUAUUAUAUUGACCUUUUAUUGUACUGGUAUUGCUUCCAGAUUGCUAUUAUAAUUUGAGUGCGAAAUUAAAGGGACUGGAAUGUAAUUCCAAAUGGAUCCAAAACAUUAAAGUGCUUAGAAUUUCUAUAUUACACAGUUACUGUGAUACUCCGACUAUACCUUCUUUUUUUAUUACAAAUUCGGCCGAUGCAUAGGCCAGAUGUAGGGCAAAUACAAGGUGAAAUGUCCUGUGUGUUUGACUACAUAUACUUGUUGAAGGAGCAUUACGAAUGUCAACCUCAAUAGAUUGCUCAUGUCUUGCCAAGAACACUCUUGAAUUUAUGCAAUGUGCCCAAGCCAGUCCCAAAGCUGGACUCACCCGUCUCCCAUCUGCCUGAUGUGUCCAGGGACUCCAAGUUUCCCAACCUCACCCUAUUCACUCCAUCAUGUGGCCCAAUAAAAUCCACCACUUGGUUGGUGACAACCACCGCCAACCCAAACUUAUUUGCUAAACCCUUCAAUGUCCCAGAUAUGUUGAAGAACAUUUCAGACCGCCGUUUCAAAUCUGCCGGUGUUGUCUGAUACUGUGAUCGGAACAAUGCAGCAAUGGAAUCAAUGACAAUGAGUUUCACAGGUAGGCGGGUGUGAUCAAUGGCAAUAAAUGCUUCUAUGUCUCCAAGGACAUGGAUGAGUUCUUGAGCAUCAUGAACACCAUGAACAUAUAUGUCUUCCAAUGGCUCCAACCUUAUUAAGUUGGGGUAUGAUGCAUGAUAAAGGUUGCCUAGUUGUUGCAAUCGACGAAAUGGGAAGCUGAAUUCUGUGAAUAUGUAGACGGAGGAGCCCCCUAGUCCGCCAUGUGAGGGUGGGAGCUGAGCUCGUACUGUAAGUUGGAGACAAAGCUGCGUCUUCCCAGAACCACUCUCCCCUACUAUUUCUGUUAUGGAGUUGCAGGGUAUCCCACCCCCCAAGCAGUGAUCUAGUAUUAGGCAUCCAAUGGAUAAUUUAGGGGUUGAAAGAGGAAGGAGCAUGAGGUUUUGGGGUGUCAUGUUUGUGUAAUUUAGGGGGGGAUGUGAUCGUGCUACAAGGCAUGCAUUAUAUAUAUAUAUAUAUAGAGUUCAUUUUGAAGGUCUGUACUGUAGGCCAUCUGUCUUUUAAGGGAUGUAUAAUUCAUCCUUUUUCCAGGUUGUAAUUACUUUUUUGUUUAUUUAUUAGUAUUUUUUUGGACCAUAUAAUUUAAAACAUAUUCUGAUGCAGUACGUCCUGUAAUAGGAUCAUAUUGUAACUCUAUCACCACUCUAUUGUAUUGAUAUUGACAUAAUAUUGCCACUAUCCGCAUGUUUAUUGCAUAUUUAUUGAUGCUAUAUCGCCACAGAACUGGAGACCGAUAAACUGUAUACGCACAAAUACAAAAUGAGGCUUCAUCAUUCCAUAAAAUCCUAUUGCCAAACUUACAUAAUACAACAACAGGCCACCCCAUCGUUACAUAAUACAAAAAUACGCCACCUCAUAGUUCCAUUUCCCUACAAAAUGAGGCUUCAUCAUUCCAUAAAAUCCUAUUUCCAAACUUACAUAAUACAACAACAGGCCACCCCAUCGUUACAUAAUACAAAAAUACGCCACCUCAUAGUUCCAUUUCCCUGCUGUUGACAAAUUCGAAGUUGCAUACUCUUCAAGUGCGGUGACCGCGACCCAUGAAAUUCAUGACCCCGGCCACAGUGAUGUUGGCCCAGUUUCCUGCCGGAUCCAUAAUUUUUGCAAAUUUACGAAAUAGUUCGAAUCCCCUUUCCACUUGUUCUUGCUUCAACUUGGCCAUUGCUUCUGAUUCCUUGAAUACCAUAAUUGCAGUGGCAGGGGCAAUUUCAAUUUUUUCUUUCAUUCUCUUUAUAUGUAGGAGAUGCAUGCGCGCAUGAUAACGAGAGCGAAUUGUGCGGUUUUUUUAUGACACCCCAUCUAGCUUGGCCCUCCACAAUUUUUGAAACUAUGUCUGCAUGAAGAUUUUUCCAAAACAUGGUAUUGCCUCGACAUUGCUGUAUGCCAUGGACCAAGUCUGCAGGGAGUGAAUUCGGUGACUUGGCUUCUGUUUCAGUCCCUCCUUCAGUAAUUGAAAGCGUUGGGUUUGGUGUGAGGUUAUGGUCCAUGGUCUUUGAUAUUUAUUGUUGGCUGGUCUACAACUUAAUUGGAACAACAGGGGACUAAAUGCGAUUUGAGUGAAAUCAGUGGGGAAGGUAAUGGCUGUAAGCAGCAGUUAAUGUGAUGGAAGUUUUCUGAGGCAAACAGCUGGGUUGAUUAAUAUAGGCAGGUUUUAAUGACCAAACCAGUAAGUCAGAGAGUUAUUGGCGGGAGGGAUUAGGGGGAGUAAUUAGCGGGAGGGAUUGGCGGGAGUGUUAGGCGGGAUAGUACUGGGCGGGAUAGUAUGGGCGGGAGUUAUUACCCAGGUUGACUUUAUGCCUUUUUGUAAUAUAUUUGUAUGUUGGACGUUCCCAACUUGGUCAUUUUCCCAUUAUGUAUUUGAAAUAAGGGAGUUGCCUAUUUGCCUAAUUCACCAACUCAUUCGAAUUGACCAAUAAUGGUUAUUGUCUUAUUUCUCAUUUCAGCAAUCUCAAUUCGUUUCCAUUUUGCCAUUUUUCAUAUUUUCCUAUUUUCCAUGUGUCAUCCAAUUUUUCAAUUUUUCAUUAUUUUUUCCUAUUCCCUAUUUUCCUAUUGUGCAAUUUCCUAAGUUUCCUUUUGUUCUAUUUCCAGUUUUCCAAUUUUUCAAUGUUCCCAUUUCCCCCCAUUAUGUACUUAAAAAAAGUUGCCUACUUUGCCUAAUUCAGACAGUAAUUAAAAUUGUCCAAUAUGGUAAUUGUCUUAUUUCCCAUUUCCACAAUUUCAAUUCGUUUCCAGUUUUCUGAUUUUCCAUGUAUCCCUGUUUCCUAUUUCCAUUUUUCAAAAUUUAAGUUUUUGUCAAAUUAUCCAAUGUUUUUAUUUCCAAUUCGACUAUUUUCUAAGUUUCCUUUUUUUCCAUUUUCAAAUUUUUCAUUUUGGUAACUGUCCUUUUGUUCAAUUUCCAAUUUUGCUAUUUUCCAAGUUGCCUUAUUUCCUAUUUUUCAUUUAUCCAGUUAUCCAAUAUUCCAUUUUUUCAAUUUUCCAAUUUUCAAUGUCCCAAUUAGCUUAUUUGCCUAUUUUCCAAGUGUCCUUUUUUCUUAUUUACUAUUUCGAAUUUUCGACUUUUCAUGUUUUCAGAGUUUCCUUUAUUUCCUAUUUCCUAUUUUCCUAUUUUCCUAUUUUCCUAUUUUCCUAUUUUCCUAUUUUCCAAGUUUCCUUUUGUCCAAUUUCAAAUUUUCCAAUUUUCCAAGUUGCUUUCUUUUCCAAUUUACAAUUUCCAAAUUUCCUAUUUUCCAAGUGUCCUUUUUUCCUUUUUCCAAUUUUCCUAUUUUCCAACUGUCAUUUGAUCAUAUUGCCUACUUUCCUGUUUCCAAUUUUUCCUUAUUUCCUUUUUCCAAUUUUCCAAUUUUCCAACUUUCCAUUUUUUCAUAUUUCCGAUUUUCCAAUUUUCCAUUUCUUCAAUUUCCAAUUUUCCAAGUUUCCUUAUUUCCCAUAUCCAAGUUUUAAGUUUUCACUUUUCCAAAUUUCCAAUUUUCGUGUUUUGCUAUUUUGUGUUCUGAAAUUCGCAAUAAAUGCUUACUUACAUAGUCCUAUUUUGGGUUCCAAUCCACAAUUUCCUAUUUCCCAUUCAGGUUUGGUUUUUUGUCGUUUGGAAGCCAAUUUUAUUGUUGUUAAUGUCAUGUUGUACUGCUGUAACUUACAGCCAAGGAGUUAAUGGUGUAGUUUGCAAUCCCAUCAAUUGAAUGCACCAACACAAUACCCAAUUUACUUCAUAUCAGUUCGUACAUAUAACUGAACCUUCCUAUAUAGAACUGCAACAGAGGCACCUUCUUAACGGGAAAGGUAAUUAGUCUUACUGAAAGGCAAAUAUUCUCCACUCAAGCUAACCAUAUAGUCGUUUACAACUGGAGACUGAAUGUACCUAUAUUUGUUUUGUUGCAGGCAACAGCUGUGAAUUGUCCCCAGUAAUACUUGAACAUGUCGGAUGUACGCCCUCCUAACGAGCAUGUGAGUUACCCGGGGGACCAGCCGUGGCAUGUGCCAUUCCCAUCUCCACCUCGGACUCCCAAUCAUGAUCCCACUUCAUCUGGAAGUGAAGCUGAGAGUCAUGAUCCGCUUGACAAAAUCUCUGCCGUCAAGCACCACCUCCAAUAUAUGUCAAAGGCAACGGAUUGGUGGGAGAGUAAGUGCGAUAUUCAUGGCCAAGUUAUGGGAAACUUGGCCAACAAGUUGAACAAUGCAUACGCUGGAGAGGUGAAGCAAGCUCUUAAAGCAAAAAGUCGGAGCAAAGAGUUAGAGUCCUUGAAGUUGAAAUUGGAAGACAGAAAGAAAAAUGCCCUCGAAACAUUCACACAAUCUGAAGAAUAUAACCAUGAAAUGGUUGAAUGUUUCAACAACGGCUUGAAAUGUUGCUAGAUUAUGCUUCGGUCAUCUCACCAGACCACAAUUGGAGUGAAAUUGAUGUAGCUGGUGUCUGGCAGGUACUUAAUAUGGGUUCUGAUGGAAUGGCUCAUCAUAGCCUCGUGCAUGCAGCGAGAAGAAAGGACAAAGACAUGGAUCUUUUGAUGGACCUGUAGUAACGGCGAAUGCUACUUCAAUUCAUCUCACCCGAGUACAUGGAUCUUUUGUUGCCUUCAUUUUCCCUUCGCGGGAUAGAUAGUAUUGUUAAGGUUCGAUGGCGAUUUCUUUGGCAUGUGUGAAAUGUUGUCUGUAAUGUGUAUGUAUUGUAUGUAUAUUGCCUUAAUAUUGCCUUCCUAUUGUGCUUAUAUUGCCCUAAUAUUGCCUUCGUAUUGUAUAUUUAUUGUGGCCAUAUUGCGACAUUCUAUGUAAUGAUAAAAUUCCUAUCGUAUUGCCCUUAUAUUACUAUUCCCUUCUAUUAAGUUCAUCUUGUUUCAUCUGGGACUGGUUGUGAUUAGAAUCUUCAUCAUGAAGAUGAUGAUGAGCCUGAGCUUGAGCCUUUGGAAUAUUAUGAGCACUGGAAAAUAAAUCCACAGGCUCAGAAUCAGCAAUUUUGCCUCCUUCAAGAGGCGUCCCAUGCUUGUAUGCAACCCUAGCCUUCUCCCACGGGCUCAAAAUAAAUUGACUGUUAACAAUCAUUCAGAAGAAUGGUAGAAAUAAGCUCCAUUGUGCCAAUCCACGAAGUUCAACAAAUAAAUUGUGUUCGAUACACAGAUGACAUGUAAAACUAACAUUAGCAUUCUCCAAUAAGAAGACUUCUCUUCUUUCCCACCCCUCGUGGAUUGAGAAAGAAAGAAGAGGGACAAAACACACACUACCAAGUUAAGGUGACAUUACAAACCUACAAAAUAUCCUCAUCAAACUUAUAAUGCUCCUUUUUUUCUUCUUUAAAGCAAAACUUCAUUCAAACUGAGAAAACCACGUGCUUUCGAUAAUCACUCCGGAAUUAUUUGCUCAUUAUCUGCAUCGCCUUCUGUCUCAACUUGAGGCUUCGAAGCAGCUUUGGCACCAGGAGGCUGCUUCUUCUUGAUCCCACUCACAAUGUCAUCGAUUCUGAGAAGUAGGCAAGCAGCUUCUAUGGCCGUUUUAAAAGUCUGGGCCUUCACGUUGUAGGCAUCCCAUAUCUGACAUCAUAAUUGCUAUAAAUUAACAGCCUUACCAACAAAAGAAAUUUCAGAUUCAAGACUCCAUGGAUGCUCAAAUAUGAGCAAUGGCGUUCACUUUAGUAAUAACCACGACAACAGCACUUCCCCUCACAUGAGUGCUGUCGAAAUAUAUUGGGAGAAGCUGUAAACUAUAACUACUACUGAAGCAAAUCGACAAUAUCAACCAGAAUAUUGACGCUUAUGCCAUAUCAAUAAAGGGACAUAUAAUGGAUACAUUUGAGAACAAUAAUACAUUAAAAGUCCUAUUUCAGAGCUUUCAGAAAAUAUCAAUCACCCAACAAAUUUGAAUAUUGAGAUAGUGAAGGAAAUAAAAGAGAGCAACAAUAGUAAGCCAAAAAGAUAUCCACCUACCUUUUUCUCUUUCACAUCAGUUAUCACACCAGUGUUACCAUCAAUGCCAAUCCAUGCAUUUUCACCAUUUGCAUGCUAUGGAAAAAAAAUUGUGGUUAGGAUAUCAAUGAUGCAUCAUAUUGUGACCACAAAAAAUAAUCAUGCAUCAGAACGUAUAUAGAAAUGACAAAUCAUAAAAUAAAACAGAACAAAGCCAUACAAAACAGAUUCAAACCUUUGCCUGCAGCGCCGUCAUUGUUCUAAUCACAUUCACCCCGCAAUUCUGAGCCAAGGUACGUGGUAUAGCCUCAAAAGCUAUAGCAGCAGCUUCAUAUGCCCACUGUUUUACCAUCAAAAUACGUGUAGCCAUAAAACUCCAUUAAAAUGCAUGUAAAGUGAAACCACAACUAAUUGUUAAUCUUAAGUAUGUCAAGGAGCAUGUGAAGUGAAGUGACAGCCAGUUUAUUCAUAGAAUUUAGAUUUCUACUUCCACAAGGAGUUAUUCUUCGACGAGUUUUACACAAGAAAUACCGAACUUUUGGAUGAGGAAAGGAGCUUUUACCUUUUCUAUACCUUAUACAGAUGAACUCUUUUGCUUCAAUGUAGCAGAUAGAGUUCACUCUGUAGCACCACCAGCAGGAACAAGUUUCGGAUUCUUGAGGAUGUUUCUUGCUACAGACAUGGCAUCCUAUGACCAGAUAUAAGGGAGUAAAUAACAAAUUUCAGCAGACUAUAUUUAUUCUACGUAAUGGGGACAAAGAAUUAAAACCAUUAUACCUGCAAAUUCCUUUCCACUUCAUUUAAAAUAUCUUUACUACUGUCAUCUGAAGAGUACAGUACAUGCUUUAGGCUCUUUGCAAUGAACAAUGAAUGCAAAAAACUCAUCACCAAUUUUCUUAACCUCAAAUAUCCCAGCGCCUGUACCAACAUCAGACUCUUGCAAUUCAUCUGGUCUGUUAACAAUUACAGCCCCACAAGCCUUGGCAAUUCGGUUAUUAUCUGUUUUCCGCAACCUCCUGAUUGCACUGACGCCGGCCUUGCUAAAAUAAUGGCAUGCCAAGUCACUAAGCCCCUUUUAUGUGAUAACCACAUCUGGUUUAAACUUCAAUAUUUGCACACAUAGCCUCUCGAUGUAUUCUUCUUCCAAUUUUAGCAGGACUCCCCAAUCUUCUUCUUUAAGCAACUCAGCAUUUGUUUGGUUCUCGCCUUUCUUAUAUUCCAGAGGACAAUCAAGAAGAAUGAUGCGUAGGUUGAAAAUCUUUCUUCUCAUUUUUCCAGGUGCAAUAACAUCUUUGUUAAUCAUUACUCGUUUGAGAACCACUGAAUCUUCCAACUGGCCACCAGGAAUCUUCCAACUGGCCACCAGGAACCUUCUCAACCUUUAUGUACUUUUUAAUAUCCAUUCCCGCAGACCCUGGCCAAGGUCCACCCCUACUAUUGUGGUAGUGUCAAGUGCAAUUCAAGGGGGCAGUCAAUUUGGUAUGGUGGCAUAAACAUGUUUACUCCAGGAUUCACCUGUAUGGGACAGAGCUUCCUUCUUCCCUUGUCGUCUGUAGGUUUCAACUUCACACUUUUGAUAUACAUGUAUGACAACUUGUGGCUAUUUAUGUAUGGCCUCCUAACACUUGUUCUGCCAUUCCACAGUAUUAGGCGAAAAUUUUUGAGUUGAAUAACUGGAAAGACUUCAGAUGACAGAAGACAUUUACCUCAUAAAUAUGCCUCCCCCCUUAAACCCUCAAUUGCAAGCUUCAGUCGGUAAUAUUUGAUCUUCAAAGGGUCAACUUUAUCUACUUCAAUCCCAGCACUGAGAUGCUCGAUGAAUUUGACGGUCAAGAUUCCGCAAGACGCACUGUGAGGCCAAUAAGUUGGGAAAUUAGAGGGGGCAGUCAUGUAAAAUUUGGAUAAACUGCACAAAAUUCACAAAGCUUACCCAUCUCGUUGUUAUGGCACAUCUGCAAUGCUGCACACUGAGAAUGGCGUAUACAUCGACAUCGUCAGCCCCUUUUGCUUCACCUCUUCAACCUCAGAAUCAUCAUAAAAGUGCAUAUCAUACAGCACUCGUGCCAGCGUAUCGCUAAUAGGGUGCAGAAGUGUAACCAGCUUUGAACGUUUGGUAAAAUCAACAUAGGAGUCAUACACAGUUGCAGUAUGUCUGACGAAAUCAAUUUCGAUUGCAACCCAGUGAGACCCUUUCAGAUUAUAUGGCAAAUAGACCUUCCGGACUUUUGUCCAAGCUUGGGCAUACCCGUGUUGCCACGUACCACGCACAAAGUGAUGUAUAUUCUUCAGCUUGCUAGGUGGAAGGUCAAUGGUGUUUGAAGCAGCUGCCUUCUUCGAUCCACGUGUCCUGGAAGUCGGUUUGAACGGCUCUAGAAAUUGCUGUAGAAAUUUAAAUGAAGGCAUAUUAGAAAAUCACAACCGACAGCAAAUGAAGCAGUGAAUGUAACAUGGUUACGUGUUUACCUGCAAGCAACAAUCUGCCGUUGUCCAGUCAGUUCCAAAAACCAACGGUUGAGAGAGUUGCCUUUUCCGGAUAAGAAAGGUUGCCAUGUCCAGGUGCUGAAAGUUGACACAUAAUAUUAGCACAAUUUCAUACAACUGUACACUUAAAAAAGGUGAGAAAACAAUUGAAUUAUCGUAAUAAAGUAGAGCUUUGUGUAUCGUUACCCUUGAGCUCAUCCAUUCCGUUUCAUCGACAAGUCUGUAGAAAAAAUCAGCGCCCACUGAAAAUGAUUCCAGCUGCACCUCCGCACUACAAAAGGCAAACUUGCAACGGUUACUUUUGUAGUCAUCUCAUAAAUCUGACUUUGUUGAUGACAAAAAUACACAUGUAUAUUAAACCAAACUCUACAUUCUCUCAUUAGUCUAUGAUUACAUAGUAGAAUAGGAUGAAGAUUGGAAUUCAAAGGUCAAGAAUCGUAACCUGAUAUCGCUUUUCCAGGCACUGCAAAACUGUAUUACUGCCUUCACAUCUUCAAUGGGCAAGGGUUUUGAUGGAUCAAAACAUGGCGGGGUUGCAGUCGCAGCCGACACAGUCAUCGUCCUCUUCUUCCUCAAAGGAUCAGUAAAUGGGCUCAACAAUGUCUGCGCCGGGCACUUAUGUCUGCACCCUUUACCUUCCACUUCUUUUUUUUCAACACUCAAACUACCUUCUUCAACACCAGCCAUAGUAACUGUGGGUAGACUUGGAGGAUUGAUCGAACCUCCCGAUUGCAUACUCUUAGUGAUUUUCCAAUCUUCUAACAGCUUCAUGACUCUUUGGCAGAUUUCGUCAUACCCGGCCACAUCUUCCGGGGUAGGCAGCUUCUCGGAUUCUGCCUGCUUAGCUACUUCAUGCACUUCUAAGUGAGGAACUGAAGCGGCCAUUUUUGCCUCUUCAACUACCAUGGCUGCGAAAGGUUCGGCUCCAUCACCGGGGACUUGUGUUUCCAUUACUGCCGGUUCUGUAGGCGGACUAGCAUUGGCAUGUAAUGGCGACAAGUCAUUGUUGCCUCCUUCAUUCAUAUGAGGACUAUCGAGGUCCUCAUGUCCUUCCCCAGCUUCAUUCACCCCACCAUUUUGUUUUUUCAGCUGCUCUAUCUCCAACUUAAAAUAAUGCUCCAUUGAAGCCACGGUGUUGCACAAAUCCUCCACACACUUUUUAUUUUUUUCGAACUCUUUUUCAGCUUUCAUUGACUCCUUCCGUACCUUGUCUUCCAACUGAUGCACUCUAUCGCGAAGCGCUCGAUUUGAUAGGGCAACUUUGGCCAAUUCAUCCUUUGUCCUUUCAAAGUCACGCUUCAAAGUGCGUAACUCUCUGGACGCGACUGUACCCUGCAUUAAGUUAUAAUGCAUGUGUUACUAUGCAGGCCAAAAAAUAUUGCAACAAUACAGCAGUUAUUUUCCUAUUGUAUUAUGACGUAUAUCUUCGAAAAUAUGUAAUGCUUGCCUUAGAAGACGACGGAAGGCUUGCAGUUUCGUCAAUGUCCUUAUCUUCUUCUUCUACAGAGGCAGAAGUGCCGGUUUUUUUUUUAGCGUCAUCGCCCAACAAGUCAACAAGUUCUUCAGUGUCGUCAGCACUGUCACCCCAAGUCCAAUACGGCUGCUGCUUGUCCAUUACAGAUGGCCGGAGAAGCUGCACAUCAACCUGUAAUUUACACAUACAAUAUACAUAUCAGUAAAGUAAUUAUAUUAUAUUUUCAUAUCCCUAACAUUAUCAUUACAAACUGAACUAACCUCACGGUUCUCGAAUACUUGGCUCAUUAGCUCAUAAAAACGCGGCGAACUAUUGCUCCUCCAAUGUAGUAAAUGAGGGAUGUACGCAUUAUCUUCGUGCACCACCAAAUGUAGUGCAGCCAACGCUGGAAAGACCUCAUACGCCCAAAUCUGGUUUGAGGAAUAAAAGGUCAGUCAUUGUAAACAAAUGCAAUUUAACUUCAACAUCAAUGGACAUUUGCUCACCUGAAGUGCAUAGGCAAAACCUUUGAGGUGGUACUCUCUUGGUCUACCAGUUGCCGUUGUUGUUGGUUUCUUUCCAGAAUUUUUUUUUUUUUUUGCAGUUUUUGUGGGCAGUUUCACUCGCUGGUAAUCUGCAGAAAGUGCCCUCAGCAGUGACGCAUUUGUCUUCGCAUAACACACAGCACCCCAUGGAUACUUCCCAAACUCUUCAAGGUCUUCCGCCAACUUCAAAUAUCGCAUGUCAAUGUGGACAUGUUUUUCACUGCCCAACAGCACAAACACAGCAAAGUAUACGAAUCCGAGCUUCAAUACAUCGUCCUCAUCAUCGCAUUUGAGGAAGGCCUUUUCUAAUUCCAACAGGUUCACAGUUUUAUCGUUGGCAAAGUACUUCCGUUUCAAUGAGCAGUUCUCAUUAGUGGGAAUCGGAAUUAAGGGAAGGUUUCCAAACCUUAGCCCUGUCACGAUGCAAAAUUGCUGCACCGUGAAUUGGAUGACCUUAUUGCCAACAAUGAAUUUGAUCCCGUUCAGUUGGGAAACUGUCUUGGGAUCAGCUUUCCUGAGCAGCAAGCAGUGGACAAUUGGAGAAGUCCAUUUGAGGUCCUCAAUCCGUAGGAGAUGACCAAAACAACUCUGUUCAAACAUUUGCAGCUGCUGUUCAGUGAAUUUCUCCUUGAUCGUAGUGAUUGCGGUCUUCGUAUGGGAUAGCGACAAUGCUUUCCCUUGGAACUUUUGUUCCUCUGCAAUCAUCAACUUCACUUGACCAACCAUAUUUCCCUGCAUGCCAAUAUUAUAAACAAACUUUCAGUCGGUUGCAAUCUAGACAAUAACAAGCAAUAAACAAUCACCACUUAUCAACAGCCUAUUAUAGGAUAUGAAGUGAAAAAAAAAACAACAAAUACAUAUCAUAAACAAAACCCCAGCUAUUUACAACUGACCUCCUCAUUUAAUGGCUCAAAGCCAAGUUUCAAGACACCCAGUACUCUACCACUCCUGCAUAACCCUAAUAUCUAAACACACAUCUCAACACACCAUAUAAUCACACCAUCUAAUCAUGAGACAGCUUCAGCUAGAAUGGGAUUGUGCGGUAGCACAAGCCUAAUUGAGAACAAUUCAACACUAACGAUACAAAUCUAUCUGACUAGAAAGAGUUUUAAAAAACAACAAGACAUCGGGAAACAAUUGAUUCACUUCAAGGUAUAAUGUAGUGGAACAUCCUAUGAAUUAGUGGCAACCGCAAUACUGACUCUACUAUGGCCCUCCUUUCAAAUGUAAGAAAAUGAAAUAAAUUGACACCAUUCCUUCAGUUUUUUCUUAACAAAAUAUCAAAGAUAAAUUCAUAAAUAAAACAUCAAAACUGUAUAAAAUGUUUGUAAGACAUGUACAAUUACAAAAUUAUAAGUUCUCCUCAGAAACAGAGUUCUCUAAGUAUCCAUACACAAACAAGAAAAGCAAAAGCUUAAACAGUUAGCUUAUAGCAAAAUCAUUGUCCCCAUUUCUCUAAACCACACCUGCUGGUGGUAGGUUCCCAUCUUCACUCAUUUCCCGCUUUCUUUUAAGCACACAAUGAUGAAGCACAAAACAGCAAACUUUUAAAGAACUCAUAUUACACCACAUAUGGUUCUAAACAAAACUCAUCCAUAUCCAAUAUGCAAGCCCUAAACUUAGUAAACAGAGUUAUAAAAAAAUAUGUCAAAUUAACAAGCAUUAUUCUCAAACAAAAAGUAUGAUAUGGUUGGGAGUUUACAAGUUCAAAAUGAUAUACACAGGUUAAUUGUCUUGCACUUUUGAUAUCAUCUUCAACAAACAAAAUAGAUACCAAUUAGACUUGUAAGAAGGUUAAAUGCAAUGGUCAUAGAGACUCAUACUAAGCCACCAAAUACUAAUCAAUAACUGCUACAAAAACCAUAAUAAAAUCAUAAUAAAACUAAAAAUACAAUAGCACUAAAAUGCCAACACAACAUCACUACAUUAGCAAUACACUAGCAAAAAAACACAAUACGACAGCAAUAGCAACAGCAACACAAUAGCAGUGCAAGCAUCAGUCCACAAAGAACAAACCCAUUCACUGUUUGAAACAAGGAAUCAUCAUACUAAGAUCAUUUCAGAUAAACCCCAAAACCAAUUUCGUUGAAACCCCUAAACCAAUUUCAGAGAAACCCCUAAACCUUCAACCAAUUUCGAACAAACCCCUAAACUAAUUUCAGCGAAAUCCCUAAACCUUCAACCAAUUUCGAACAAACCCCUCAACCAAUUUCAGAGAAAUGCAUAAACCCUAAACCAACUUCGGAGAAACCCUUAAAGUGUAAGAAAAUGCCGAUGAACAGUACCUGUCGCUGGGAGAGGAAGAGAGAAGAGAGAGUCCGAGCUGAGGGACGAGAGAUUGCGAGCUGAACGACCAGAGAUUCAGAGCAAAGCCACGAGAGAGUGAAGAGAAACAGAGCCGAGAGAAGAGAGAGAUCCGAGAGAAGAGAGAGAGCCGAGAGAAGAGAGAGAGCAAAACAGAGAGAAUAAAAUUUCAGCAAAAGUGAUAUGUGUGCAAUAAGGGCACAAUAAAAAUAUAUUUAUAGGUUAUAGUUCCAAAUUUUUUAAAAAAGGGUGGUAUUUUCAGUUACAAUUAUAAAAAUGGUGGCAUUUAGGGCUAUUUCCCAAGAUAUUAUAACCCAUAAUUAAAACAACAAUAUAACUUCAUAAUCUCAAUAAUCAAAAUAAUCAAAUUUAUAUAUAUGCAAGACAAUCCACUCUUUGAAAAUAAUGAUCAUUUAAAACAAAGUCCACUCACGAAAAGUCCAAAGUUGCUUGACCCUUCGAGGGUCCCACCUGUUGAGUUCGUGGAGCCUGAGUACCUAUUUUAUCGGGAUUCAACUCCUAAGUUUUCGGGAUUCAAAGUGUGUGUGCACGACUACCGGGGAGUUUCUAAAGCCAAUAUAACUCUUUUCAAAAGGUGGAACGACCUCGGAAGACUCACGGUCAACAGGGUGGCCAAACUUCUCAAAUUGGUCAACCCAGCGGGGCCACGACGUUUGAUUUUCUAUCCGAAAGUUCCUACUCAAUCCUAAAGGUACAAAGAACAACAUAUUUGAAAUUGGGACCGAUCAAACGGUCCGAACCUAUCAAACCCGGAUAUCGCAUAAUAGGUGCAAUAUUCUUUCGAUAGUCAAAUGAAAACCAAUUCAAAAUCCAAGCAUACCGUCGUGCUCAGAUUCAGACUAACUAGCCACAUAGUGGUCCACGCGCCGCCACUCUCCGUCGGCAAGGUAUGGUGUCUUGAGAAUUUUCCCAUGAAAACACCUUACAAUACCUAUGCCAACAGAUUCAGACUAACUAGGGGAUCAACUUCUACGCUGAAACCGUAAGCUAAAAUGGGUAUAUUGAACGAUUUGUAAAACCUUGAAAUCAAUCCAAGAUACAUAUACUAACAGCUAGAGCACGUGAAUGGGAUGAAGAACCAUACCUUGGUCAACAGAAACAGCAGCCGGAAUCGCCGAAAAUUGCACGAACACCACCGGCGACCAAACUAGGGUUUCGCUCGGUUCUAGUCCAAAAUCGCGACCAAACUUGGAGUUUCGUAGGUGUAAAUGGGUAUGCACGUGUAGAUGACGAAGAGACGAAUGUUUUGUGGGUCGUGACGUCGCCAAUCUUGAUCGGACGGAGGAGAAAACGCCGACCAAACAAGCCAGUCUAUUUCGGGAAUGAGAAGAGGGUUGCGCGAGCAAGGAGAGGGUUGCACGAGCUAGGAGAGAGAGAUCUGAUAGCUCAUUUUAAAACCCAACUUUGAAAAAAUUAUGAUUGUGCCACUGCACUUCCAUAGACCACAAAUUCUUCGUUAAAUCUCUGAUUUGGGCCUACUACGUGUCUUCGAACUCGUGAGAGCUAGCUCUACGCAAUGGUGCCACUCAUUUUCCCAAAAUCCUUCAUAAUCGAAAAGUGACUAAAGUGACCCUACCCCUAAGGGAAAAAUUGUAAAUUCAAAAAUAAAAAUAAAUUUAAUAAAAUGAUUAAAUUGGGUCGAGAUGUUACAAUAUUGUUGUUGUUGUUUUUCUUUAAUUAAUGUAGCCCCCUGGUUCCUCCUCUCUUUUUUUUAAUUAAUUUUUUUUUUGUGUAAAUUUUUUAUUUUAUUUUAUAAUUUUAGCGACACUAAGAAAGAUACCAACUCACCACACAACUUAAAAACAUAGACUAACUUAUAAGAAAAUAACUAUAAAAACAAAAAACAAAAAAAAUCACAAAUUUUAAUUUUAAAUAUAUAUUUUCUUACAAGCAAAAACAUUUUUAAAAAACAAACUUAAAUUUUUAUUUAAGUUAAACUUUAUAUAUAUAAAUUUAUUUUAUGGACACAUAAAUAUACAAGCAACUCAAGGAUGACUAGUUAAGGGCCUCUGAAAACACAGCCAAUGGUUCCGGGAAGGUUGGAGAGGUCAAAAUUGUCUUGCUUAAAACCCAAACCUUCUUAGACACCAAAGGUGUCGCCGAAGAACUCCUAGACACUAUAUUGACAGAGGUAGCUCGUUCGGUUUACCAAAAAUCGGCUCAUAUGACACAUUAAAUAUUUAUAUUUAUAUUAAUUUUAAUUUUAAUUUUAAAGAAACAAAAACUUAAAAUUACUAAAAUAAUAAUAACAAAACAUGCAAAGAGAAAAUAAAAGAAAAGAAAAUAAGAAUUAUUGUAUCACUCGUGUAUCACCAUGUAAUCACUGUGGUAUCACCCGUUUAUCACGUUUUAGAGAUGAAUUUAUGAACUUUCUAUGUUUUCCAGUUUCGACCUCUGUCCCGUUUUGGACCAAUAACUUUCAAACCGUUAGUCCAGAUUUUAUGUUCAUUAUAUGGUUGGAAUCAACAUAACAAAAUGAAAUACUCAACCUGGACUGAAUGGCAAAAUUAGUUAUAGAAGUGUACAUAAUUCAUUAAAACGAACACUCAAAGUUUCGACACAAUAAAAAAAAUUCCCACCAAGAACUUAAAUGAAACAUUGUCCUUAAUGUUGAAAAGAGUAAAAUUAUGCAAUGUAUCAUAAGGCCAAGGGAAGAAACAAAACAAAAUAAAAUUAAAACAAAAACUUAAAUUACUAAAAACUAAACAAGCAAAGAGGAAUGAUUGGAAUACUCCCCUUCGAAGCGAUUAGGGCGAGCAUGGAAGCAUUUGGAGGUCACGAUUUCUCCCAAUACUCAGCACUUCCCUUCUUUGUUUUGUUACUAUUCCAGUUAUAUCUUUCUUAGAUUGUAGAUUAAUAAUUGUUUUUGAGGUGGUUUUGGUAGUGUCUUAUUCUUGGUGGUAUAUUUUGUUACGGAAUAAUAAUGGCAUCGUAGUUUCUAUUUUUUAAUUGAGUUUUUAUUUUUAUUUUUUAUGUAACAAUUAUAGUUAUAUUUUUGUUAGAUCGUAGAAUCAUUGUUUUUUAAGUAGUUCUAAUAGUGUCUAUUUUUUUGGUAUUAAAGUUCUGGUGGUGUCUUAGCGUUGCAAAUAUGUUUAGUAUGAAAUAUAAAUUGCUUCGUCAUUUCUGUUUUUAACUGUGGGUAGGGUUUUGCCAUUCAAAGCUUAGGGAUUCUAAAUCUUGGAGACUAAACAGUUAGCAACACAUGAAAUUUAAACAUUAAAGAACAACUAAUUAUAUAAUCUGAAGGAGGGUAGAUUCGGUGACUGCAAUGCAACUAAUUAUACAACUAAUUAUAUAAUUAAAGAACAACUAAUUAUCUAAUCUUAAAGAACAACUAAUUAUGUAAACAGUUAGCAACAUAUGAAAUUUAAACAUCUUUUAAAUUUAAACAUAAGCAUUUCCAUUGCAUUUGUUCAAUGUAUCUCUUCCAUCUUUUAAUUUGGCUGAAAGACACAACACUUAAUUAGACAAUGAAAAGCACGUGGUGGAGCAGUUUCAAUAAAUGAGGGUGCGUUCCAUCAACAAUGAUGCGCUGAACCUCCAUACUUGAAGCUUAGUGAGAAAAUAUAUUAGAAACUACAAAGGUUUGGAGUGUUGGGCAGGGCCUUGCAAAAGAUGUCGGUCCACGUGAGAGUGAGGGAGUCAGUGGUGGUGAAGCCAGAGGAGGAAACGCCAAAACAGGCGCUGUGGAUAUCGCACUUGGAUAUCGUGAUUUCGGCAACUCACCUUGGAAGUGUUUACUUCUACAGGAGGCCAAACGUUCAAAACGGCGCACAUCAUCUUCAAAACAACUGUGUCUUGGAUUCGGAGGUGCUCAAGUGCUCCCUUGCCAAGGCCCUCGUGCCCUUCUACCCCUUGGCCGGCCGCCUGAAGCUGAACGAUGAGGGACGUAUCGAGAUCGAUUGCAAUGGAGAGGGAGUGCUGUUUGUUGUGGCGGAGACUGACUCGGUCCUUGAUGAGUUCGGGGACUUUGCGCCGACUCUUGAGUUCCGGAAGCUCGUUCCUGCUGUUGAUUAUUCCGCUGGGAUAUCCUCUUAUCCCCUCUUGGUCGUACAGGUAUUCAGAGAAAGAGAGGAGACAUUUUUUCACUCCCUUUCUUUUAUUUCUCUUGCUCAUAAUAUCAUCCGGGACAAUUCUUGAACCUGAUAUGACUUAAACUUACAAAGUAUGGUUCUGGUUUUACUCUGUUUAUGCAUCAGGUCACAUACUUCAAAUGUGGUGGAUUGUCACUUGGUGUUGGCCUGGAACAUCGUGUAGCAGAUGGCUUUUCUGGUCUCCACUUUGUAAAUACAUGGUCUGAUAUCGCUCGAGGUCUUGACCUUACAAUUCCACCAUUCAUCGACAGGACAUUACUUCGUGCCCGAGACCCACCACAGCCUGCAUUCGAUCACAUUGAAUACCAACCUGAUCCACCCAUUAAAACCGGUACAAAAGCUGUAGGUGAUGAGAGCGCAACGGUAUCCAUUUUUAGAUUGACACGGGAGCAGCUCAACAUCUUGAAAGCCAAGUCUAAGGAAGAUGGGAACACAAUCAACUAUACCACAUAUGAGAUG